rnacentral:lncRNA from 1 species
UCGGUUGCAUUACCCACAUCUUAUGUGAUUGGAAAUGCUACUUCUGCAUGAAGAGCCACCACCCAUGGGAUGAGCCACGCAAGCCAAGGAGCCUAGCUCUCAAAUGUCUUCAAGAAAUUGACUGUUAGAGAGAUUUCAGAACAUCAUUGGCUAAACCUUUGCUUUAGCUAUGAUGAGUAGUUUAGCUAUAAAGGCUGUGGCUGAUGAAUACACCCUGUGGUGUAUGGCAGGUGCCUUUAAACUCUGAGCUCCUUGCUAGGUCGCUGGCUCCCCAAGCUUAGAUUGCUUGUGGUCUUGGAUCUGGCCCUUUUCUUUUUGUCCGUGGCAUGAAUAUACCCUUGUUAGGAGUGGUGUUGUGCGUGUCUGUGUGAGUUGGUGUUCAGGCUACGCUUUUAGUCUAGCUGUUUGUAUUUUUUUUUGUGUCUUUUAUUUCCUCUCUUAAUGAAAUGACAUGCAGCUCUCCUGUGUUGUUCGAGAAAGAGUAGUUUAGCAAGGGCCAUCACCGCAAGCAUCUCUGUUUCUCAUAGAGGUGCUUGAGGAGUGAUGACACAACUGAUGAUGAUGAUGGGGUUGCAGCAUUGGUAUCUGUGUCCACUGACAAGGAGCCUACCGGCAAGGUAAACCAUGAGGUUGCUCAUGCACCUUUGGGAAAAGGCAUUGAUAGUUCUUGUAAACUAGGGGCAACACAUAAUGUCAUAAAUGAAAAGGUGACGUCAACCCAGAGAAGUAACCGCCGCCCCAUCCCCUCAGCCCACAAACUGGCAGGUUAUCUUCUUAAUUAGGAAGAGCCUUUUUAAUUAGGAAGUUUGUCUAUUUCAGUAACGAGAACGCUGCCUAAAGAUCCCUAAAUAGCAUAUUGUUUGAUGAAAGUAAUGCGUAAACUUCAAUAAACAGGAAAACCCAAGAAGGCAAGAACUACAACGCAAUCUGCAUUAACAUUUUUGGUGUUCAUAUGAUCUAUAGUGCCACUCUUCUUCUAUAGUUCAAACUCAAUUAAUUAAAUAAAUAAGCAUGUUUGCUUGUGCCUUUGUGCUAGGAGCAACAGGAGAGGAGCUUGUAAAAUUCACAUUUUUUGUAAGCUAUCUGGAUUUUGCACAGGGGCACUUUGCAUAUUAUAGUUUCACAAUAACAUAAGGCAUACAAUGACACAACUAAUCUUCCCUUUUUGAGAAUAAAUUCCGUCAUUGUACAGCAAUAUCCAGCAACAAAUAUUCUAGUACAGCUAAUUUCCAUGGAACUGGAAACAAGUUUCAAGAAGCAUGGGUGCUUAUGGAAAGACUAGAUUCGGUCCACUGCUUUAAGUAGUUAUAGUCUCAUAAGAUUCCAAGAGCAUACUUAAUGAUCAUAAAUUAGUAUUGCCAUCUCAUCAAAAAGAAAAAGUAUCAUCACUGGUCUAACAAUAACAGAGGCCACAGCACUCACCUAUAUUUGAAUGUGUCCAACAUCACCCGUGAGUUUUUCAAUAUGAGCAGGUAACAUGCACAAACACACUAACUCUGCAUCCCCGAAUCACAACGCCGAGAAAUGCUAACAAACAAACGGGCAAAAUCUCAUGUAUCGUCUCUGAAGACCCUCAAGAGAAGAUGCCCAAAUAGUAGGUUCAAAUCGACAGCGUGGCAGCCUGAGAGGUACUGGAACCGAAGCUGACCUGCGGGAGUGGAGGAUGUCCUUGACGAGCUCCACGACGGGCUCGACGUCGCGGAGGAUCUCCGCCUCGGCCUCCUCCCACGGAUCGGCUUCCCCCGCAGCGGCGGGCUCGUCGACGGUGGAGAGGCCGCAGAGUUGGCGGUGGAUGCGGAGCGAGAUUCCCGGCACGGCGGCGGCGGAGGCGGCAGGCGGGACGCCCCCGCCCCCGCGGAGGAGGAGCGUGGCGGCCCGGGCAAGGGCGGCGGCCAAGGCCAUGGCUGGCUUUCGGUGCAGCGGCGAGCGAGAAUGGAACGACGCAGGAAACAGGGUUCUCCGGGGUUUAACCGAUUCGGAAAAUGAAUUUGGGCCGUAGAUUAGAGUGGGCUUGGACUUGUCUUGUAGAGGAGUUGGGCCCGAAUUUGUGCAGUCUUUCUUCUUUUCGUAAAGUUUCUUUUGAGUAAAUUUUCCAAAUUUGAGGAAAAUUUACCUAGCGUUUACUUUUAAGCGUGAAAAAAAUUAUGUUCCAACUUUUUUUAGGAGUAAAGAUGAGCUUUAGACGAGGGAUUCAAACAGGGCCCAAUAAGCAAUGACUGGUCAGUCAGCACAGCAGUCAGUCAGUCAGUGUGAGUCGGACGGUCGCUGGAUGCGGGGGAGCUAGCGCCUAGCAGGCAGCUUCUUCUCCAGUCCUGUAUGCACUCCUUCUGUGAAUUUGUUGGUGUUGCGAGUUUUGACGCCGGCAACGCGCUACGAGUCUCGUCUACGACCGCAUGCAGAUUCAGCAGGAACGACGUAUCGGGAAGAGCACGCAGCUGGCAGCCGCGCCAUCACACACUGCCAUGUGGGGACGCGCAGGACCGAAUGGAAUCGAUCGAUGGAAGCAGAGGGGGGAGAGGGGCGCGUCGGAGACCAGACCACGGACGGAAUAACCAGGGUGGCCUCGUUGAAUGCAGGUCGAGUGGUCGACGGUGAGGACAGAAAAAACGGGGCAUCUGAUGCUAACCAUCUCUCCUCGGUCUCCAUUUCGUUUCGACAGGGAUUCCAAUGUGUAUACCUUUUUUUUCCCUGGGAGAUGAGUGAUGCGAAUAAAAUAGACGUACACCACCCUCGCCCUGCAGGCCAGCAGCAUCUUUUUCAUGUGAAAGAAACUUCUUCAAGACCCACGAACCAGCUACUCUGAUCGUUGAAAUGAAAAUUCUCCAAUGUUUUACACGGGAUUGCAAACUUGCUUUUUACUCAGAAUCUCUAGAAGAACCAGCUACAAGAGACAGAGAGAGAGAAAAAAAAUCAAUAAAUUGGGUAACAGAAGUAGCAGUUCCAUAGAACCCCAUGCAAAUAUUGUUAAAAGAGUUUUCGGUAAACAAAUGCCUUUUUUUCCCUAUUUCUGAGAGGCAAUAAACUGAGUUCAAUCUCCUAACAAUAAUUCAAAAGAUCAUAUGCUGCAGUGUGAAUGCCACAUUAUGAUCGUAGCCAAUGUGUAGGUGGAAAAAGAUGCCAUUCAUUGCUGCCCAUUCCUCCAUGGGAAACAAGACUAUUUUCCCUAUUUUCUCUGCUCCAGUUUAUGCUCGAGAAGGUGCAAGAAACUUUGAAAGGGAAAGACUACAAUAAUGAGAGGGAUGGACAAUAGUAGAAAUCCUAGAUUCGAGAACCAACCAUACUUUACAUGGUGCCGUAUGAAACAAUAUCUACUCCGAUCCUCAUCAUCUGUCUUUUAGCUUCUUUAAUUUAUUUCUUAAUACUUAUUGUCAAGCAAAUCCACUGGCUAAUUAAGUUGUAGCCACUUGGUCCACGGAGAAAUGGGCAUAAGAUGCAAACAACUAAACAUCACGUACUUGCACGGCAUGCGCACAUAAUGGAUUUGUUGAACCACCGGUUUGGUUGCGUAUAGACAACAUGACGGCAUUCGAGGCUCGGGAUAUUGAACAACAACCGAUGAGUAACCAUUACAUAUAGGGCAAUUUCCCUAUGUGCCAUUGGCUAAAACUUGCAUCCUAAAAAACUCAUAUCUUGUAAAUACCAUUGUUUAUAAAUCCUAAUCUCUUCCAUGCCAAUAUUGACCAGAAUCCGGUAGUCCUAGAUAACAGGCAGGUCAAGCUGACCUAUUCGCCCUUGCCCUUACUUGGACGGACAUUUUUUUCAUUCUGGUAGCUGGUAGGUACUCCGUAGACAAAUAGCAGCUCCUCUGGUUUCUUGAACACCAGAUCGACACUUGCAACAAAAAGAAAAUCGCAGCUAGCAGAUACCUAUAUUACUAUAGUCUCACUGCAGUACUGCACAGGUAGCAAACGUAGAUGAAUUAAUAAACAAGUAGAUAAUCAGACCAGCUCGAACCGUCCGCACCUGUCUACGAUUUGGUGAUGGCUCCGCAGGGGCAAUUUUGCCAUUUGGAAGGGUCCCUAACGGUGGAUGCUAACAGAAGCUAACGCAGUGGGUGGCAGAUCGAGGAUUAAGAUUUAUGCCAAUGGCACAUGAGGAAUUUUCUCUUAUAUAUAUUUCCACUCUUUGAACAAUUAAAUAUUUGUUCAGAAAAAAGGUCGUAUUUUUUUAUUAAAAAAAAACUUGAACAUCGUCUAGCCAUGAUAACGCCUCCAAUAUUUUUUACAGAUCCAUACAAUGCAACACAAUUCUCAAAUGUAAAUUGAACCAAGAGUCCACACACAUGUUAGUGCAGUCAAAAGGCAGAUGGAUCUAAGCCAUUGUAGCUGCUAGUUUGAUGUCAGCUGUGGAUCCUGUGAUGCUGUCUCAUGUCUCGAGAAUACUUUAGUUUGCGCCCCUACACAUCACUGAUAGCGAAAGUAAGUUUGCGGCCACCUAAUAAUGAUGUCGUCUACAAAGCACUGUGGUCAAAGUUUUGCCCAUCUACUAGUACUAGCUACCACCCAUUCAAACUUUCUAGCUUCAGAUCAUCAUGCACCCAUGGCCAUGUCAGCAGUGUUUUCUCUUUCUUUCCAAUUUUCAGUUUUUCGAUACACGUUUGAUAAGGGAAACGAAUGCUUCAACUGAAUUAGUUAGUCCACAUUCUGUUUCAACAGCCAGUUUAUUAUUUGCAUGUAGACUUUCUCAAAAAUUAUUUGCAUGUAGAACACAUAUAUAUGCCAUAUAAUAAUGAUUGGCACUUCUAUGUAUACGGUAUAGUUCAUUCUUAAAUACUAACUUCAUUUAGGCCAUUCUCCCUUUACAAACCUUUACCAAAGCCCAGCAAUGUACAUAAAUUCUGCCCUUCAUUAACCCUUAAGCUUACUCCCUGUAUCCAUCCGCAAUUGUCAUCAGUCAUCUUACUCAUAUUUUUCCAUUUCCGUUUUAGUGCAUCUUUCUUUUCUUUCUAGACGUUCAUACUCUUCAACGUGACAAAAAAAAACAUGUAAUCAAUGUCAUUUACUAUCUUGAGAGAUUGAUUUUUAGUGGUUAAAAAUAGAGUUGAUGGCGAUUGUUUGUGUUGUCAUUUCAAAAAGUCAAUCUCUCAAAAUACUAAAUGACAUUGAUUACAAACAGUGCAUUUGCAGCUCUUUUAGAGUUCAAAAAUUAUCCCACAAAAAAGUGUAUUUGUAGCUUUUGGACCAACUAGAUUUAAUUGUAUGCACAUUUAAUUGCCUAAAAUUUUCAUUUUACCAAGGUACAUGCACAUUUAAUUGACAAACUUUUUUACCUUUCCAAGUUGCAUUUUAACUUUUCCAAGAUGCGUGCACAUUUACGUGCCUAACUUGUUUUUUCCAAGAUUUAGUCCAUCAAGAUUUGGUUGAUUAAUUACUUUAAUUAGGGGCAUCCAUGUCAUUUCUCAUGACUAGUACUGUUCCUAAAAAUUCCUACUACUGUUCCUAAAAAUUCUUAAAGUGCACUCUUUAUAGGACGGAGGGAGUAUAACUUGUAAGAGCACAUAUAUGAAAUCAGUAUCAAUAAGAACUUAGAGCAAUUGUGGGAGUAAAAGCUUGAAGGAAUAUACUCGUCUCAAUUUCAUACCAACAAAAAUACAUAAAUAUGUGUUUUAAUUCCUAAAUUUAAUUAACUAGCAGGAAGAAAAUGAUAUACCCCCAUAUUUAUACCCAGAAGAUUUUACAUGAUAUGAAUAAGGACAUAAUAUGAAUAUUUCAAAAUAGCAAAAAUGGACACCAAAAGAUGACAAAUUGAAAUAAUCACACGAUGAGAGUAUUCUCAAAUAUGGCGCACACGAUUUCUUGGGCUACAACUUCUUGCGAUACAAAUUUAUAAAGUAUGAUAUAUAUAUAUAUAUAACUAAUUUAUGUUUUUUACUAUGAAAAAUAGUUACCUAACACAUUUCCUUUGUGAAUCCAGAUCCUUGUUAGCAUAUGUGGCUAAAGAAAAAUAAUAAUGUGAUUGAUCGAUAUAAUUAGAUGAAUAGAUGAAUAUUUGAGAUACCGUAUUUACAAACCUGUAAAUAGCGACAUAUGUUGCAUCGAUUAUAUUAUUAUAUUAAAAAAGAAGCCAUGAAUAAGGUCACGAUACUUACACAACUUUUGUAAUUAUAGAUGUAUUGCACGUGAUAUCAUACAAUAAAAUUGGAGUUAAGGGUGAGGUUUCUCUUAUUUCUCUCCAUUAUUAAUGACAAUCUAAAGGUUAACCGUAGAAAAAAAACAAUCUAAAACAAGAUCGUUGAAAAUGAGUUAAUGACCACCCACGAGAAAAUUUGGAGUUCAAGAUCGAAAAAUAAACCUCAUCAAGUCAUCAUCCGUCCCAGAAAAUUAUUUGGUUGAAGUCAGAACUAAAUUUUUACGAAAGAAAAAUUUGCAGUCGCAAUUGCAGAAAAAUCGUAUCGAGUAGCAGUUAAAUUCUACUGUAAUGACGAUAACGAUAUAAUAUUAUAAUUGUGAGGUAACUUUGACUAAGAAGUGCAUUGAAGAAACAACUAAGCAAAGGGUAGGUGGACCGAUUGAGAUCCGGAAAUGACGGAGAGGGCGAUUGGUGACGUAGCCGUGCUCUGUAGGCCACCGGUGCUCCUCGUCUGUCAAGGAGGGGGUAAUCGAGAUGGCAAGGCUCGUGCAUCUCAUCCCGACGAUGAGGACGUUCCCUGAUUUCUACGCCACCGUGCGCGUUGGUACAUGCGGUGCAGCAGGUGGAUCGUUGGGCGAUUCUGGUGCUCGUCAUGGUGCGUCGAGUUCACUCACGGACACGGCCGUGUAUUUGAUCUAGAAGGAUGGCAUUAAUCAUCCUUUGUGGAUGUCUCUUUCCAAGUUCAUCCGGGACACGGAAGUUUCAACUCGAUCGUACGGUGAUAGGGGGUCUCAUGUUCCUAUAUGUAUCGGCAUCAUAAAAGGUAUUCCUAUGUCCGGGGAGUAGCUAGGGUUUUGGUGUCUCCUUUGGUCUUCUUGCCGCCGUGACACCGCUUCUCUCCCUUCCUAGCUUCGAUCUACGACCUCCGGUGGGGGUGAUAAGGGAUCUCCGGUGAGGAGGUUGCCCACCCAAAGCCAAAGUUCGGUGAUCUAUGCGAGUUGGGGUGCGUCUUGGUCAUCGGUGCCAUCGGCCAAGAAGGAGAUGGGUUCAUGUUAGCAGCAGUCAGAGAAGAAGAUGGAUGCGGUUGGGGAUAUCACAAUCGGUUCAAGCAGCUUGGAGGUUCAACGUCAGGGAGGAGAUGGUGCAGGUGUCGUGGCCCAGGAGGAGGUAAACGUGGGCAGGAGGCUGAUAGUCCAUGGCGCGCCAGCAGGGGAGGAUCUGGAGGAAGAAGAAUUUGAAUAUGACUUCGAGGAAGAGGAACCUGCAGGAGGGGUGAAAAAGAAGUGGUUUACAAUGGUGAGAUACUGUUCUAGCUGCGUGGCCAAAUCAAAGAUCAUGUUUGCAGAAUUAAGCAAUGUGUCGGGUGAUGUGAGCUCUAGAGUUCUUGGUGAUAACAGAUUCAUGUUGGAGUUUACAUCAGAGAGCUCACUCAACUAUGUUCUCCGGGGAGGUCCAUGGACUUUCAAGGAGGACACUUUGAUUGUGGUCCGUUAUGAUGGGCUGUCCAGAUUAUUUGAGGUCAUCAUUGAAUCCAUACCUAUAUGGAUCCGCAUAUACGAUAUACCUAUGGGGAUGAUGACCAUAGGUUUCGUCAAUGCCCUAGGAGCAAAAGUGGGGAAAGUUUAAGAGGUGGGAGAAGCUGUUAAGGAUUUCAAAAGAGUGAGGGUCGAUUUUGCGCUGGCUGAUGCUUUUAAGAGUAGUGUGCAGAUCCGAGUUAGAGGGAGGGGCUUGAUGGAGUUUAUGAUGAAGUAUGAGAAUGUUCCUCACUUUUAUUUUUGUUGCGGCCGCAUUGGCCAUGCAGAACGUGAAUGCCCCAGAUGAGGAACUUUAUGAAGGUGAGGCUAACUUUGGUAUAGAGCUGCGAGCUUCGCUGUUCAAGAGGGAGGUAGCUAGGACACUCUCCUUCCAAGUGACGGUGCCACCUGCGAAGAGAGGUCUCAAUUUUAGUGGUGCCCAGAAGGAUAAAGUUAUUUCCUACUCUAGCUCCUCUUCGCUGAAUGAUGGGCGCUGCGGGAGAAUGCAACAACGCUCAGGAUGGCAACAAGAGAGGGAGGGAAAGGAGGCUGAUGGCAUGAUGGCAAAAGGGCUCAAACACAAAAUUUGUUGUUACCCCGAAGGUUGCAGAUUGCCUAGCAGAUCGUGUCCAGAAGAUGGCAGUGGAUAUGGCUGAUCCAUAUAUCAACUCUGGGCCAUCAGCAACGGCAGGGUGCAGCUAUGAUGCUAUGUUGGGUUUUCCAGAAUGAUUUUCUGGCAUCGACUCUUAUGAUGGUUCGAGUGAUGGUUCCCUAUCUAUCAAAGAAGAGCUAAUGAUGAACAAGACAUCAGCUACACCGUUAAGCCUACAUGAGAGGCUGCUACGAGCCAAGGCUAAGGCCGAGGGUGAGCAGGACCGCAAGUCACUAGCUAGGAGCCCUGGCGCGUCCAAAGAUAUCAAUAAGCCACGGAAGCACAAGAGUGCGCUGAAGCUGGAUGUGAUUGCCAAGUCCUUGAAGGAGAUGCAACAUGGUGGAGUGCGCCCAGAUGGCCUGCAUGUGGCGUCAAUUGAUGUGGGCAGGAACAAGAACGAUGGAAGCAACAGAUACAAAGGAAGGGAGGAGGCUACAGGAAACCUGGUGGGGCUCGCCCUGAGUGCCCACCAAGGACAAUGAAUGCUUUGUGCUGGAACUACCGAGGGAUCGAACUCUCUCGGACAGUUCAAGAGCUAUCGGCUCUAGUUAGAGCUAAAAGCCCGAGUUUAGUUUUUCUUUGUGAAACUCAUAAUUUAGAAAAUAGGGUAGCAAAUUUAAGGUGGAGGUUAGGUCUUAAGAAUUGUAUCGCAGUUGAUAGUGAUGGUAGGAGUGGAGGUCUAGCUCUGUUUUGGUAUGAGCCUGUUGAGGUUAAAUUAAUGGAGAAAAACUUUUGCUACAUCUCUUGGUUCGUGCCAGCUUGCACGAGCCCUGGUUCAGGGUAACGUUUGUGUAUGGAGAGCCUAGAACGGAGAAUAGUCAUCGCAUGUGGGAUUGCCUAAGACGCUUGCGCUCAGUCUCGAAUUUGUCUUGGUUGGUUAUGGGCGCCUUUAAUGAGGUGAUGUGGGGUUUUGAACACUUUUCUAUUUGUGAAAGGCGGGAGAGGCAGAUGGUUUUUGUUUAGGGAUGCUUUAAAUGAUUGUAGUCUAAUGGAUUUGGGCUUUGUGGGUCUACCUUUCACGUAUCAUAAUGGUGCAAAUAAAUCUCACCAGUUAGUAUCAGCAACAGCUUCAUCUAGACGAACCUUCACAUUUGCUGACCAUUGUCCCUUGCUGCUGGAGAUAAGAAAGGAGAACUGGGAACGGCACAAGCCACGGGUUUUUCGAUAUGAGAUUAUGUGGGAAAGGUUGGAGACUCUAGCGCACGAAAUUAAAGAGGCCUGGUGCAUGACGCUGAGCAUGGAGGACACAGGGGAAGUGGUUGCUGCUUUACGUUGUGUGCAAUGUGCUCUGCGGUCCUGGAGUAAGCAAAAUUUUGGAUCAGUGACAGCGGAGUUGGAGUCCCUGCGUUCAAAGCUUGAGGAAUUGAAGGGCAACCUAUCGAAUGGGAGUAACGACGUCCAUAUUAUUACUGACCGUAUAGACGAGCUGCUAUACCGGGAGGAAAUGAUGUGGUUGCAACGAUCGCGUAUUGCAUGGUUAAAAGAGGGGAUAGUAAUACGAGUUAUUUCCAUCGGCAAGCAGUUUGGUGGACUUGUAAGAAUCGUAUAAAGAAGCUGAAAGAUGCGGCAAGCAACUGGUGUGAUACUCCGCAUGGCCUUAAGCAAUUGAUGGCUGAUUUUUUCAUGAGGUUGUAUGAAGCAGACCCGGGUGUUAUACCACACGAGCUAUUGGACCUAACAGAACCCAAGGUUUUAGAGGCAAUGAAUCAGCAACUAUGCAAAGAAUUCACAGAUCAAGAAAUAUUGGAUGCUCUUUUCCAGAUGGGACCCCUGAAGGCUCCAGGGCUGUAUGGAUUCCCGGCGCGUUUUUUCAAGAGGCAUUGGGAGAUAUUGCGGGAAGACGUGAUUGGGACUGCCAAGAAUUUUUUUUGGAUGGGAUUAUGCCACCGGGUAUAAAUGACAUGGCUAUAGUGCUAAUUCCCAAAGGAAAUAACCCAGAAGAGCUAAAGGAUUUCCGGCCCAUUAGCUUAUGCAAUGUUAUUUACAAAGUUAUAUCCAAGUGCCUGGUGAACAAGUCGAGGCUAUUUUUGGGAGAAAUUAUCUCGUUAGAGCAAAGUGCUUUUGUGCCUGGUCGUAUGAUUACAGAUAAUGCUAUUAUUGCGUUCAAGUGCAUACAUGCAAUUCAGAAGGGUUCUGAUGAUAAGGAGGAAUUUUGUGCAUAUAAGUUGGAUUUGUCGAAAGCGUAUGACCGUGUUGACUGGGGUUACCUAAAGAAUUUAUUAGAGAAGCUAGGCUUUCAAAGUCAGUGGGUGCAGUGGAUCAUGACAUUUGUGUCUACUGUUCGCUACUCAGUUCGCUUCAAUGGGGUUCCAUUGGCACCCUUUACCCUAUCUCGUGGUCUCCGUCAAGGUGAUCCACUUUCAUCCUACCCCUUUCUUUUAGUAGCUGAUGGCCUCUCUGUCUAGCUAAAACACUAUGAAGGAAUGGGACGCCGGAAGGAAUCAAAGUCUAUAGGCGUGCAUCAAGCAUCUCUCACCUGUUGUUCACUGACGAUAGCCUGCUCUUCUUCCAUGCUACUGUUGAAUAGGUAUGCCAGGUUAAAGAUUCUAAAUAUUUUUGAGAGGAAUACAGGCCGGUUGUUAAGUUCAAUAAAUGUACUCUGCUCAUGCGAGAAGGGAGGGGGGAUGUUGUCCAACAUGUCCGUAGCAUUCUGAGGGUGGAGAAAUUGGAUUUUGAGGAGAAGUACUUGGGCCUACGUACACCUCAGGGGCGCAUGAAAAGAGGAAUUUUUCAGCCACUCGAGGUGAGGUUUGCAAAGCGCAUGACUGCUUGGAAGGAAAAGGAGUUAUCGGCAGCCGGGAAAGAAAUCCUAAUUAAAUCGGUAGCCCAAGUGCUCCCGAACGAUAUCAUGAGCGUUUUCAAGCUUACGCGUGGCCUAUGUGAGGAUCUAAUGAAAGCUAUCCGUGCUUAUUGGUGAGGAUCUAAGAGGGGUAGAUGGAAAGUGCAAUGGGUUCCAUGGACGACCAUGCUAAUGCCCAAAGGUUUUGGAGGAAUGGGUUUUAAGGAUUUGAUGCUUUUUAAUCAUGCUCUUCUUGCUAAACAAGCCUGACGCCUACUUAUCUUCCCAAACAGCCUGUGUGCUCGCGUCCUAAAGGCAAAAUAUUUCCCUACAAGUAACCUUUUGGAUACUAUGGUGGCUGGGGAAGCCUCGCAGACAUGAAGGGCCAUUGAGUAUGAGCUGAAAUUGCUCAAGAAGGGGGUAAUUUGGAGGAUUGGUGAUGGUAGUUCCAUUUGUAUAUGGCGUGACAAUUGGAUACCCAGACCGUAUGGUAUGAAGCCCAUUGGAAGUGUGAGGACGUGCAGGUUGAGACGGGUUUCCCACCUCAUUGACCAGACAUCCAAUAUUUGGGAUGAAGCUACUAUUAGAAGGUUUUUCUAUCCCUGCGAUGCUGAUGAGAUAUUGAAGAUUAAACUACCAUCCACCCAUCUGCAGACUGGAUUGCGUGGAACUUUGAGAAGACAUGCAUAUUCUCGGUCAGGAGUGCAUACAAGCUAGUGAUGCGUGAAAAGUAUGAGAUGGGUGCCACCGGCUCUAGCUCUAGUACAGAAGGUGGGAUCUGUGGAAAUGAGUGUGGAGUCCUGGAGUACCAUCAAAGGUUAGAGUUUUUGCUUGGAAGGUGGUCAACAAUGAGCUGCCAACGAGAUAGAACAAGAAGUAUAGGCAUCUUGACCAGGAGCGCAGUUGUGAGUUGUGUGGUCACCAAAUGGAGGAUAUUUUUCAUACGAUCAUCACUAGCUCGCGCACACAUGACCUUAGGUAUGAGCUUAGGAAGUAGGUGGCUCUGCUAGCAGAAGAAGAUAUAAGAAAUACAGGGUCUGAAUGGCUACUUACUAUAUUGGAUAGGUAUGAUGACGUUUCUGGUUCGAAUUUUCUUUUGAUAAUAUGGAGAUGUUGGAAUGUCAGGAACAGGGUAUUGCAAGUCGGGGAGCAGAUUUCUAUCGCCGGCUCAAUGCUCUUUUUGACACGCUACAUAGAGGCACUGUUCCAGAUCCAACAUCAGCAAGUGGGAGGCGAUACUCGCGAGAAGAAGAAGCUGGACCGAGGAAGGAAUGCCCAUCCUGUCGUGGGGAAACCGGCCGAUGAUGGACGAUGGGUACCGCCGUCGGGAGAGACGUUGAAGAUAAAUGUUGAUGGAGCCUUCAUCAAGAAAAUAGAAGGGGCGGUUGUGGGAGUUAUUAUGAGAACUAAUUUGGACUAACCACUCUUGGUUUCCUAGCGCCUUCUAAGAUAUUGAAGAGACGCAGAGCAGGCGGAGGCACAAGCUUGCCUGGAGGGAAUCAGGAUGGCCGGCCAAAUCCAGAGGCGAUCUUGGAGUCUGACUGUUCAGGAGUGGUGGAGAAGCUUUAAAGCUGGAGGCAUAGAUAGGUCGUUGGUGGCGCCUAUAAUAUGUGACACUCUCUAGGAUGCUGAGGUUCUACGUAGUGUGAGGUUCGUCAAGAUCAGUAGAGAACGGAAUAAAGUUGUGCAUGAGUUAGCUCAUCUAGUAUUCGCAAGAGGGAGUGCAGGGUGUCCUUUUCGAAUGCCCCGAGUUGUAUUGAGCCUUUUGUGUGUACCGAUUCCUGUUCUCUUUCUCGAAAAAAAUAAUAUUAUAAUUAUAAUAUAACAAUAGUAAUAAUAAUUCGGUCAUAAACAAUAUUAAUAAUAAAGAAGAGGAAAAGGAAAAUGGCGUGCGCGCAGGCCGCGGGCGGCAGCACAGCAUUUAAUCGGGUUGAAUCCCUUGUUGGCGUCCGCGGCAUCCUGAAUUCCUCCCCCCUCCGCCCCACCCAACCACUCCCCAUUCCCCUCCCCCUUCCUCGGCAGAUCCGCCGCCGCCCCCCAUGGGCCAGUGCCCCUCCGCCCCGCGCCGCCGCAAGCCCCCGCCCCCGCCGCCGUCCCCGUCUCUAGCCCUCCCCUCGCCGCCGCCGCCGCAGCUCCUCGCCUCCAUCGCCGAGGCCGCCGGGGAGGACCGCACCGCCGACCUCCCCGAGGAUCUCCUCGCCCUCAUCUUCGGCCUCCUCGGCUCCCGCGAACGCAAGCGCUGCUCCCUCGUCUGCCGCCGCUGGCUCGCCGCCGAGGCCGCCUCCCGCCUCCGCCUCGCGCUCGACGCCAGGGCGCCGCUCCUCGCCGACUCCGCGCUGCCCCGCCUCCUCGCGCGCUUCCCGGCCGUCUCCAAGCUCGCGCUCAAGUGCGACCGCCGCGCCGAGAGCGUCGGCGACCCGGCCCUCGCGCUCGUCGCCGACCGCCUCGGCCCGGGCCUGCGGCGCCUCAAGCUCCGCUCCCUGCGCGCGGUCACAGACGAUGGGGUCGCCGCGCUCGCCGCCGCGGCCGCCAACCUCCGCAAGCUCUCCGUCGGCUCCUGCGCCUUCGGGGCCAAGGGAAUCGAGGCUGUUCUCCGCUGCUGCCUACAGCUCGAGGAGCUCUCCAUCAAGCGCCUCCGUGGCCUCGCUGACUCGGAGCCUAUUGCCGUCUCCGGUCCACGCCUCCAGUCCUUGUCGCUCAAGGAUCUCUACAAUGGCCAGUGCUUCUCCUGUUUAAUCACCCAGUCGCCCAACCUCAAAACCCUCAAGAUUAUCCGAUGCUCCGGCGACUGGGACCUCGUGCUCCAGGACGUCCCAAAGGAUUCCAUCCUAUCCGAGCUCCACCUCGAGAAGCUGCAGGUCAGCGACCGUGGUGUAGCCGCCUUGUAUGGGCUUGAGGUCCUCUACCUUGCAAAGGCACCUGAGGUCACGGAUGUUGGGUUAGCCGCGCUUGCUGCCAAGUCACCACGUCUCCGCAAGCUGCAUGUUGAUGGAUGGAAGGCGAACAGGAUUGGUGACCGUGGACUCGCUGCCGUGGCACAGAAAUGCACCAGCUUGCAGGAAUUGGUCCUUAUUGGUGUGAAUUUGACAUAUUCCAGUCUUGAAUUGAUUGCUGCCAACUGUCCCACCCUGGAGCGGCUUGCGCUGUGCGGUUCCGACACAUUUGGAGAUGCGGAGAUAUCAUGUGUUGCGGCUAAAUGUGCUGCCUUGCGUAAGCUGUGCAUCAAGGCAUGUCCUGUGUCUGAUGUGGGGAUGGAUAAGCUUGCCGAAGGCUGCCCACGCCUCGUCAAGGUUAAGGUGAAGAAAUGCCGCCGGGUGACAUCUGAGUGUGCUGAGCGUCUCCGGGCUAGCAGGAAUGGGGCACUUGCUGUCAAUUUUGACACUCCAGGCGGUGCUGGUGAGUUGCAGGAUGCUCGGAGCAUUGACGAGAGUGGCGUUCUGGACAAUGCUGGGAGUGAUGUGCCACCAGAGGAUUUGGAUGAUCGGAUAGGACCGGACAUCUCAAGUGGGAGCAGUGGCAGGCCUUCAAGAUGGAAAGCACGGAUGGGUGCUUUGAUGCCAAGGAGCUUGUCUGUUUCGAUAUUCCGAAGGCAAUCGCAUGGAGCCAGCUAUACAAGUCAUGAGUCAUGAAAUUGGAUGCCAUGGUUGCUCCUUUAGCCCUUCAAUUCUUUUAUGUUUGUAUGUUAAAUUAAUUGGUGAUGUUAUUUGUUGUAUUUCUGUUUCGUUCUGGAUGGUACCAUGCUGUUCUUUCUGAUAAAGAAUUUAGUUUAAAUUGGUAGCUUUGAAGUUGGAGGAUACUUAUUAUUUGAUUUUCGUCCUAGUAGCAGGGGUUCAUGCAAUUGCAUGCUGUAAUCUUCUUAGAAAAAAUUGUUUGAACUGAAAAAUAUGAUGUGGAAACAAGGCCACCAGUCGGCAUUUCAAAGUUCUGAUUUUGUUUGGAAAUGGUUGAAAAUGUUGAUGUGCCUUCGAUAUCAACCGCACUACGUAGCAAAGAAGCUCCAAACAGGAAAUUUGUGGGUAAGAUAUUUUUGUGUUGCUGUUUUUUUUUGUUUGUGUUAAAAAGUCGGAUGGAUGCCUCUUUUCAAUCGAUUCAUAAACUUAUUACGGAAACACCUAGCCUGGAUAAAGUCAAAUUGUCUUGCCCUUUCAUUCUUUGUGCAAGUACAAGUAUUGGAGGCUUGUUGCUUCAAUGGAGAGGAUGUGGUGCAUUGGCUCUUUGUUUGUGAUGUUAUCAGGGCACAAUGGGAGCUAAUUUGUCAUCUUUAAUCCACAAAAGAGGAUUGUCUUAUGUUCAUGUGAUCAUGACAUAUGAUAUUGAUCUUGAUUAUGGGACGUCUAUUUUUAGUAUAAUUAGAACAGGGCCAUAGUAUCGCAGUAAGAUACAAACAUGGGAAACAAGAGUAAACGUAGAAAUUCAAUCUGCAGAUACUGAAGUGUGCAUCCCCGUGUAUGCAUUUUUACAGAUUUGGUUGCAUUCUCCUGUUCCUAUUUCAGGGAGUAUUCUGAUGUGGAAUAUCAACAGUAUCUGUUGCAUAUUAUAAAUUUAUCAGAUGCUGUCUUCAAUUCAUUGUCUUGACAGGUGGAUUCAACUGUUAGGUUUUAAUCGUCUAUUCGUUCUGUUGCAUGCUACUUUGUUGGUUGUGAACAACUUUCAGCAGAUCUUCUUUCUAUCUGAAAUCCUAACAUGGUCUGGUGUUGGCUGGGAUCUGAAUUGAACCAUUAAUCACUGAUGCUAGUUUUCUGUCACUCUGUCAUACGGUAUUUUAUAACAUUUAUUAGGUUAGCCUUAACUAAGGGAAGGGGUGUUUGGUUCCUUGAGUUAAAGUUUAGUCCGUGUCACAUCGAAUCUUCGGAGACUAAUUAGGAGGACUAAAUAUGAGUUAAUUAUAAAACUAAUUACAUAUAUGGAGGCUAAUUCGCGAGACGAAUCUAUUAAGCCUAAUUAAUCCAUCAUUAGUAUAUGGUUACUGUAGCAGCACAUUGUCAAAUCAUGGACCAAUUAGGCUUAAUAGAUUCGUCUCGCGAAUUAGCCUCCAUUGCACACAUCCGUGCAAUGGAUUUUGUAAAUAGUCUAUGUUUAAUACUUCUAAUUAGUAUCUAAACAUUCGAUGGGAUAGGAACAGGGGUGGGAACCAAACGGGCCUUAAGAUGACCUGCAAAAUAUCAAGGUGGUGUUACAGUCUGUCUGUUUAACAUUACUGUCAGACUAAUUUGUUUUCCCAAUUGUUCCUGAGGUUUGAUUGCUUUUCCCCCCCUAGAUACCGUGUUCUCGUCACUUUGUAAAUGUUUCUAUGUAGGACUAUUCUGCUCCACUGACUCGUUGACACGGACCUGAAUGGUUUUCCGAAGCUGCUCCCAUUUCAUUUGUGCUUGUGCUCCUUUUGGUCAUGACGUCUUACACACGGUGUUGGAACGAAAGGACCUUCACAAUCUUGCAUGUAGAAUGUUCAAUGAGGUGGAGCACAGACACCAGUUUUCCGUUCUUUGAAAGUUUGGCCAUUUCCCAGGCCACUUACCGGUGGUUGACUUUGAAGCUGACCAGUAGGAGACACCAGUUCCCUACUGGUUCAACUAAGAUUCUUCCUUCUGGAAGAUGCAAGGCUGUUGGUCAAGGAAUUUGGUGAGUACUGGUGGUGCUUGAUUACUUGCAAGUUGUGGACAUGGUGGUUUUGAGAAUGUGGUUAAGGCUGUUGCUGCAGUACUACGUCUUUGUGCCUGCCACUGCUUCCAGUUUAACAAUGUGUCACUAUAGGCUUGCAGUCCCAAUAAUUAUCAGGGUGGCGCUGAGUCCCUCUGUUUAGCAUCCCUGAGAAAUUUGAUACUUUUGCUUUUGCUUCUGUUCUUUCUUGAAGUCAGAUGUGUGAUACUGUGUGAAUCGUAUCGUUUGAACGAAACCUUCAUUUUUUUGGUUGAAGCUGGGCAUGCGUGAUGUGUCCAAAAGAGAGUCCUUUCCGCGUUCAAGUUUUCUCGUCAGAGCUAUAAACUUCAAUUGACUCCCUCUUGUGCGAGUAGGCAUUAUGCAUGAGGUAGUGCCGGCCAUGAUGAAGCAAAUAAUUACACAUGGCUGCUGGGCGAUGGGCGUGGUCAGACACACAUUGUUGAUGGAAUCGCAUGCUGGCAGCCUGUUGUGGCUGACCUCGUAAACCAAAAUAAUGUACGACGGGCAAAGAAGCGUAUAAAUAAGACCUUGUACAGUAUACAAAAUCUUUCUAGGACAUAUUAAGCACCUGCUCUACAUGGUUUGAAAAACUUACUGUUAGCUUCUCCGCAGUCAUCGCACUAUGUAUCUUACUAAUGGAUUUACAUAUCCAACAUCCAUAUACAAUUUUAAGUCUUGUUUAUUAGAUGCAUAGUAUUUUUCUAGUUUCGGUUAUAUGGACGUAACAAAACUUUAUUUUGAAAGCAUGGUACCGCUAAUGUUGUACUCUGUUUCUUUCUAUUGGGUGUAUCGAGAUUCGAAAACUCAAACUUUGCAAUUACUAAAAUUACGUACUCCAACUUUAACGCAUCAAAAUUAUGUCCGUAUAUUUGCAUUUCAUAAGUAUUUUUAGAUAAAGAAAGUUUUAUUUCAUAACUAUUUUAAUGGAGCGUUAAUUUUGCAUAAGUAUUUUAAUGCGAUGUUGAUUUUUGUAGUUACUGAUAAUAUAUUGUAAGAAAAAUACAUGGUUAUAACAUACUUAUAAGGGCCUUUUCAAUUUUUCAUAUCAUAGUACACCCUAUAAAAGGGAAUAAACAGCAGUUUUUAUACAAGAACUCCAUGUGACUCUCUUUACUCACAUGAAAGGUGCCAUGGCGUUGCUAGCAGUAUUAUUUGGAUAAGCUACGGAUAGUGAUAGUAGAAAUUGCAUGGUUUCUUCGAUGCUUGCAUCUAAAUUUUAUCAUCAGAUACACAGCCGUGGGUCAUUUUCUUAGUAGGCAGAUGGUCGUUGGUCAAUACAUGGCUAAGCAGCCCUAAAAUUGUAGAGAUGGCAUGCAGGGCAUGUGAUCUAAUGUUGCCGUCAUGAAUAGUAUCACAUCCUUAGCCCACUAGUAAUCUGGUCCGUCAAAAAGGUGCAAGUGGAGGAGCAGCCUUGGUGACCUGACGUGAGACCUGAGUGGCUCAAUUAACCGCAUCAAAAGGAGGAGGAAGCAUGAUUAGGGUGUUGAUGAAAACAACCCUUGGUCAUAACUUUUGGAUCAUGCGCUGCUUUCAUUUCUGUUUGGCCAUAUGAGCUUUCUUCUGUCCCCAUCAUACAAUAUCCGUGCUAUUUUCAUAAGCUAGCAACACACCAAAUGAGUGUUCAUUCAACUUCAUUUGGUGGUCUGAAGAUGAAGUGGAGAAUUUUACUGCACUUACCAAGUUAUCCUAAGCUAAAACAGUCAAGAAUAAUCGAGACUUCAAAAGUAGUAUAAUUAUUUGACAUGCUCGCACCACGACCAUCCCUCGCGCCCUGAUUGUUUAUGUGAGCAAGAAGCUAGUUUCAGCAUGUGCCUGCUUAUAUCUGAAGAAGGCAUUAGAGACAGAAAGACAGAAUGCCGGCAGUGCCAUGUUGUGAAGUUGUUCUGGUGUAGCGGCAGUUGUGGCAAUCCCUUCCUUGCUCGGCUCAGCACGACAGCUGUUAGACAGACAUCAGAAACAAUGUUUCCUUGCUCCAAACAAAAUGUAUCUUCAAUUGUUUCCUGAAAUUUCGUUCCAAUGAGACAAAAUAAAGGUGCUCUGUUCUGUUACAGACAGACAGGGAUGUGGAUGCAUGCUCUUCCAAUUCUUGCCUCUCUUUUGCUCAGUAUUUUAUUGAACUAAUGGCCAGCAAAUUUAUUUCAACCUUUUUGUCAGUUACAUACAGCAGUCUGAUGUAAAAUAGUGCUACUACUACUUACUGCUGUCUUUAAUUUGAUUACUGGAUCAUUAGCUGCAGAGCUCUAUCUAAUGUGCGGCCAGGCCAUCAUCAGCAACACUGCACUCUUCUUCCUCUGUUACAUUGCCAAGGUCCACCUAGCUUGUAUUGGAUUCAAUGGGAGCCUUUUUUCCUGGUCAACAACAACAAAGCAAGCGUAAGAUGGUGAUUUUCUGUGUGAUUUUAAGAUAAAAGAGUUUUGCAUCUGCGUCAUUUGAAUUUUCAGGGGGCGCGUUUCAGUCACCGCACGUCAUGGAAAACAAUGGUGAUGCUGGACAUGAGGUAGGCUUGCAUCUUGAGACUGCUGAUUAUUCUAGUUUGGAGGAUGAGAAUUCAUAAUCAAAUCCAAACUCUGCAUCAAAGGAAACUCUGGAUUUGAACUAUGUGUUCUGGCUUUCAAAACUCUUUGGCUCGAUUACAGGAUAAAUAAAUUUGAAAGAGAAAUGUUGACUUUUAGUUUACUUCUGGAUCACAGAAUCGGCAUUCUAGAUGAGGAUACUCAGUCUGAGAAGACAUGAUGCUGGAUAAGUCUUGCUACUGGUCCUUGUGGGGUUGCUGGUUGCUGUACUCUUGCUGCUGGUCCUUGGUAGUUAAGGAUAGUGGGUACUGCUGGUCCUUGGCAGUUAAGGAUAGUGGGGUUGCAGCUGCUGGUUGUUGACUGGAGGACAGUGGGGCUGCAGCAUAUGCUUGCUGCAGCACUACUUUUGUUGACUACUUUUAGGGUAGGAUAGUUCUAGGCAUCUUAGACUAGCAUAUGCCUUGAUGCUUGGCUGGUUGGCUGCUUGGCUUGAUGUUAUGGUAUUGUGGAAAGAAAACUUAGAAAAUUACCCCAACUCUUCGUAGUGCCAUCCUCUUGAUGAGAGUUACAGUUCAGAUCCUAACAACUGGUAUCAGACCCGUAACAUCUCCUGUUCACAUCCCUCCCUAGCCACCCUUCGUCCCCAGCCGGUAGCAGAAACAUCGGCUGUCCAUGCUCACUCCUCUCCCUCUACGCAGACAAGCGGCAGCUCGUCGGAAGCAGCCUCUUCCCCACGCAGCCCCUCGGUGGCGCGCUAUGUCCGCAGGACAGUCUCAGCACUCGGUCGCCUCGAGCGAGCGGUGUCGGCAGGAGGCCGAGCUCGCUACGGCAGAGGAGCAUACCCGAGUGGCAGCAGAGACCGCUGCGGCGGCGGCAAGGGUGUCGAGGCUGGCGGCGGCGGAGCUGGCUGCAGUGUGGGCGAAAGCGGAAGCGGCGGCGGCGGCAGCGGAGCUCGAGACUCUACGUGGCGGUAGCAUCAGCAGCGCUACCUCUGCCGAUGGCGGUACCGACAUAGAGCUCGUGCUAGCAAGCGAGGCGGCAUAGGAACGGGCGGCGCAAUAGGCAGCCGUGCACUCCCGUGGGCGCGGCGGCGGCAGCCCAGACAGGCGUGCACGCGCCGACGGCGCUCCCAGCAGGGGCGCGCGUGACGACCGUGUUCCUGGCGGACAUGGGGACCGCGACUCCCAGGGCGACCCGCACAUCGACCUCGCACUGGAGGUCCAACGAUUGUGGGAGAGGGCUGCCCAACUGGAGGCGGAGAUGGAGUUCGAUCGGCGGCACGGCGGCCGGGUCGACGGAGAGCGUGGCCCUUACAGGCAGCGUGGCUCUCCCUUCCCGGACCGCCAUCAUGGUCGCCACAGGGCCCAUGCUGUUGUCAGGGAAGUUGGCCCCGGUGGUGGGUGGCCUACCCUCACCAAGACCAACUACGUUGAGUGGGCCGCGGUGUGAGGCUCCAGGUGCAACACAUGUGGGAGGCAGUCCGGUACGGUGACGUCGACUACGAUGAGGAUCGACGGGCGCUGGACGCCCUCAUCGCUACAGUCCCGCCCGAGAUGCAGUUCUCGCUUUCCUAGAAGCGGACUGCCAAGGAGGCUUGGGACGCCAUCUCUGCGGCACGCAUCGGCAGCGACCGCGCCCGCAAGUCCUCACUGCAGGCACUUCGCAAGGAGUGGGAGAACCUGGCCUUCAAGCCGGGUGAGGACGUUGAUGACUUUGCUCUCCAUCUCAACACUCUGUUGCAGAAGAUGGUGCAGUACGGCGACGACACCUACGGUGAGGAGAGAGCUGUCGAGAAGCUCCUCCGCGCGUACCCGUGAAGUACAAGCAGAUCGCUCGCUCGAUCGAGUCCCUGCUGGACCUCUCCAGGAUGUCGAUUGAGGAGGCGAUACGUCGCCUCAAGGUCGUCGACAGCGACGAGUCACAGCCUCCCUCAGGGCCUGUCAUCAUUGGCGGGAAGCUCCAUUUCACUCAGGAGCAGCGGGAGGCCCGCAAGGGUGAUUAGAAGAAGGGGGAGCCUUCUUCCUCGACAGGCGGCCGCAGGCGCGGCAAGCCACACAAGGUGCCCAAGGCACGACGAGGCGCCGAGGGCGGCGCGGGAGGAGGUGCCCAGAGUGGUGCUAGCAGCGCACGAGGAGGCGCCCAGGGUGGUGCCGCCGGCGAGCACAGGCCGCCACGAGAUGACACGUGCCGCAACUGUGGCAGGCUUGGCCAUUGGGCCAAGGACUGUCAACAGCCAAGACGCGGCCAGGCUCACAUUGCACUAGCGGAGGAGGAGGAGUCGGCUCUGCUCCUGGCACAUGCAAGCAUCGAGCUAACUCCAGCGGCAUCGGCCGCAGCGGUUCUCUUCCACCUUGACAAGCCGAGGGCACACGCCUUCCUCGGCGAUGGCUCCAGCAACGAUAAGACUGAGGGGUGGUGCCUCGACACUAGCGCUACCCAGCACAUGACCUUUCGGCGGGAGUUCUUCACCAAGCUUGACUCUAGCGUCCGAGGCACCAUCAAGUUUGGGGAUGCCUUCGGCGUAGAGAUCAAGGGCGUCGGCUCUGUCAUCUUCACCACCGAGAGCACAGGCUACUCACCGGAGUGUACUACAUCCCCGCGCUGAGGAACUCUAUCAUCAGUUUGGAACAGCUGGAAGAGAACGGUUCGUGCGUGGUGAUCGACGAAAGAGUCAUGAGGAUUUAGGACCGCCGUCGUCGCCUUCUUGCCAAGGUAACCCGAGGCGCAACGACUCUACAUCCUUAAUGUGCAGGUGGCACAACCCUUCUGCCUCGCUGCUCGUCGGGACGACAAGGCGUGGUAGUGGCACGAGCGCUUCGGGCACCUUCACUUCGAGGCCCUAAAGCGGCUCAAGGAGAUGGUGCGAGGCCUACCAUGUCUCGAUCACGUGGAGCAGUUCUGCGAUGUUUGUGUGUUGACAAAGCAGAGGCGGCUCCCCUUUCCCCAGCAGGCGAGCUUCCGAGCCAAGGAGCGGCUCGAGCUCGUGCACGGGGACUUGUGUGGCCUGAUGACACCGGCCAUACCCGGAGGACGACGCUACUUCUUGCUGCUCGUCGACGACCUCUCCCGCUACAUGUGGGUGAUGGUCCUCGGCAGCAAGGGGGAGGCUGCGGACGCCAUCAGGCGCACGCAGGCUGCUGUGGAGGCGGAGUGCGGCCGCAAGCUGCGCGUGCUGCGCACCGACAAUGGUGGCGAAUUCACGACGGCUGAGUUCGCGUCGUACUGCGCUGUUGAGGGCAUUCAACGCCACUACUCCGCGCCUUACAGCUCGCGGCAGAACGACAUCGUCGAGCGGCGCAACCAGAUGGUUGUGGGGAUGACUCGGGCCCUCCUCAAGCAGAGGGGGAUGCCGGCUAUUCUCUGGGGAGAGGCAGUGGUGGCGGCUGUCUAUAUCCUCAACCGCUCGCCUACCAAGGCGCUUGACGACAAGACGCCAUACGAGGCUUGGCAUGGGCGCAAGCUGGCGGUAUCCCACCUGCGGGUCUUCGGCUGCCUCGCGUUUGCCAAGGAGCUUGGCCACAUCGGCAAGCUUGACAACAGGAGUACUCCAGGAGUGUUCAUCGGCUACACGGAGGGUUUGAACGCCUACCGCAUUCUCGACCCAGAGACGCAGUGUGUGCGCACAGCGCGCGAUGUUGUGUUCGACGAAGGGCGAGGAUGGGUGUGGGACAAGGCGGUGGAUGACGGUUCGACUCCGACGUACGACGACUUCACUAUCGAGUACGUCCACUUCGAGGGAGCUGGGGGAGUAGGCAGCUCUUCUUCGCCGAGCGUGCCUACCCCAGUCCCCGAACCUCCACCGACUCCGACGCCUGCUACUCCGACAGCGCCACGCUCUCCAGCCGUGACUUCGGCUGCGACGAGAUUCUCGCCGACACCACCACAGCCGGCGACGCCACGUACUCCAGCACCGACGGCCACCCCUCCGGGCACGUCUACUCCGACACCAGCUCUUAUCGAGCACAGCCCGGUGGAGUUCGCUACUCCGCUCUCUCACGAUGAGGAGCACAUCGACGCGUACCACGACGGUGAGCAGUUGCGGUACCAUACGAUGGAAGACCUCCCCGGCAACCAGCCAGUGCUGGGACUGGUGCCUCACGACCUGGAGGCACAGUUGCACCUUGCGUGCGACGACGGCGAGCCUCGGUCAUUCGUGGAGGCCGAGAGACACGAGGCAUGGCGCGUCACGAUGCAGUCGGAGAUGGACGCGGUUGAGAAGAACCGCACCUGGGAGCUUGCUGACCUCCCUCGUGGUCACCGCGUGAUCACCCUUAAGUGGGUGUUCAAGCUGAAGAGGGAUGAAGCCGGUGCCAUCAUCAAGCACAAGGCUCGCUUGGUGGCACGCGGGUUCGUGCAGCAAGAGGGGAUCGACUUCGACGAUGCUUUCGCCCUCGUGGCACGGCUGGAGUCCGUGUGACUCCUCCUUGCGCUGGCCGCCCAGGAAGGCUGGCGCGUUCAUCACAUGGACAUCAAGUUGGCGUUUCUUAACGGCGAUUUGAAGGAGGAGGUCUACGUGCACCAGCCGCCGGGUUUUGCGAUCCCGGCAAGGAGGGCAAGGUGUUGCGCUUGCGCAAGGCUCUCUAUGGCCUGCGGCAGGCACCGAGGGGGUGGAAUGCCAAGUUGGAUUCCACGCUCAAAGGGAUGGGCUUCGAGCAAAGCCCGCACGAGGCGGCCAUCUACCGGCGGGGCAAUGGAGAAAUUGCCCUGCUGGUGGGUGUCUACGUCGACGACUUGGUGAUCACCGGCACCAAGGAUGUGGAGGUGGCGGCGUUCAAGGAAGAAAUGAAGGCCACCUUCCAGAUGAGUGACCUGGGGCCUCUCUCCUUCUACCUGGGGAUCGAGGUGCACUAGGAUAACUCCGGGAUCACGCUUCGACAGACCGCCUACGCCAAGCGCGUCGUGGAGCUAGCCGGGCUCACCGACUGCAACCUAGCUCUCACUCCGAUGGAGGAGAGGUUGAAGCUGAGCCGAGACAGCACGACGGAGGAGGUAGACGCUACGCAGCACCGGCGUCUUGUGGGGAGCCUUCGCUACCUUGCCCACACACGACCGGACUUGGCAUUCUCCGUCGGCUACGUCAGUCGGUUCAUGCAGCGACCGACGAUGGAGCACCAGCAGACCGUGAUGAGGAUCGUCCGCUACGUUGCGAGGACCCUCGAUCAUGGUCUCUUCUACCCGAGGUGUCCCAGGGUGGCACACUUCAUCGGGUACAGCGACAACGACCACACCGGCGACAUCGACACCAGCAAGAGCACGAGCGGGAUUCUCUUCUUCCUCAGCAAGUGCCUCGUUAGCUGGCAGUCGGUCAAGCAGCAGGUGGUGGCGCUGUCCAGCUGCGAGGCCGAGUACAUAGCGGCCUCCACUGCUUUGACUCAGGCGCUUUGGCUUGCCCGACUGCUCGGUGAUCUCCUUAGCAGAGACACUAGAGCGGUGGAGCUCAGGGUGGACAGCAAGUCCGCUCUGGCCCUGGCAAAGAACCCCAUUUUCCAUGAGCGGAGCAAGCACAUCCGGGUGAGGUACCACUUCAUCCGAGGCUGCUUGGAGGAAGGAAGUAUCAAGGCGAGCUACAUCAACACCAAGGAUCAGCUUGCGGACCUACUCACCAAGCCCCUUGGGAGGAUCAAGUUCCUUGAGCUAUGUUCCAGGACCGGGAUGGUCCAACGCUCCCCCAAGACGACGCACAAGGCUUAGGGGGAGAAUGCUGGAUAAGUCUUGCUGCUGGUCCUUGUGGGGUUGCUGGUUGCUGUACUCUUGCUGCUGGUCCUUGGCAGUUAAGGACAGUGGGUACUGCUGGUCCUUGGCAGUUAAGGACAGUGGGGUUGCAGCUGCUGUUUGACAGUGGGGUUGCAGCUGCUGAUUUGUUGACGGGAGGACAGUGGGGCUGCAGCAUAUGCUUGCUGCAGUACCACUUUUGUUGACUACUUUUAGGGUAGGACAGUCCUAGGUAUCUUAGACUAGCAUAUGCCUUGAUGCUUGGCUGGUUGGCUGCUUGGCCAGCUAUAAAUAUGUAUCCCCAACCCUUGGUUGGAUAUGGUAUUGUGGAAAGAAAACACAGAAAAUUACCUCAACUCUUCCUAGUGCCAUCCUCUCGAUGAGAGUUACAGUUCAGAUCCUAAUUGCAUUAUAUCUUCGUAAAAAUAGGAGCUUUGCAUGUGUGAACGAAGAAUAAGGUUUGAUGGAAUAUCGGUUACCAUAAACUCAUCGACAUCCUAGUUUCUUAUUUUCAAAUAAAGCAAGCAGCAUAUUGUUAAGUAAAUAUGGCUGGAACCUAAGCAUCAGAUUAUAUGCAGCAUAGAAACUUCAGGUGUGCAUUAGUGCGAUUCUGAACCUAUGUUUUCUCUUAUGACCUGGAGUAUGUGUUUUACUUACAAUUUUCCCAUCCUUAUUUGCCUCUUCAAAUUUUUUGAUCCCAGUCUUCUUUGCUUGUAACGACUUGAACAUAGUCGUCUUCGUCAUCAGUGUGCUGCAGUCCGGGUAGAGAGACAGACAGCAGAGGCAAGCAGCAAAAAUCAAUUGUGUAUUUGAAAACAUACAAAAUAUGCUGUUAUAUCUUUGUAUAUAUAAUUUUUUUUGCUAAUCUGUAUAUAAAAAAUUUAAUUGUCGCCGUACUAACAAAGAUGGUUUUAUGCGCAAACAUGGUGGGAAAAUUUGGGAAUAUCCCAUGUUUCGCUGAAAAAAAAUUGCAGAUAGUAUUCGUCUGUUGGUACUCACUGUGAAAACAAACACCGUUGAACUCGGUUUUAGGUGCCUUCUUGAUAUAUAAAGAGGUAAAACGUGAAAACUUUGCUGAAGUGUUUAAUUGACAAUUAUGAUUUUACAAUUCUACAGAUGAAUUUUCAGAUUAGCUUUGGGACAAAGCUUUGCAAUUUGUUCAUACGAUGUUGAAGUCAUCGUGGGUCUUAGAGGUAGCGACACUUAUGGAACCAAAUGAUCUAUAACAACCACAAAUGUAGCUUAAAAGUUUAGAGUCAUGUGGUAACUAUUAUGUGGGAGCAAUGCUAUAUAUCCUAAAUAGUUCCAUGUCCUCGAUGAAUGAGGCAUCACUGUUGUAGUUCUUAAACUCCUUAGCUAUAUCUUAUAGAGUCAUGUGGUUCUACAAUUGUACUACUAUCUUUAAGCCACAUAUCAAUAAAUUUCAUCUAUAAAAUAAAGUCAUAAUUAUCAAGUAAACACUUGAGUAAAAAGAUUUGCGCAUUUCAACCUCCUUUUAUGUCAAAAUGCACCCAAAGCCGAGUUUAGCAAUCUUGUUUAAGGGAUUAAACCCAAUGAACGAAUAUGAUGCACAAAUUUUAUCACGGAACAUGAGAUAUUUCCAAAAUUGUCCGACUCGAUACUACACAGAAAAUAUUAUUUUUCGUACAACAACAGUUAAUUUUAUAAGAUACAAAGAAAUAACAACAUAGUAUAGAAUAUAAAAAAGAGAACCACAUCAUAACAAAGUAAAAAUAAAAAGCUAAACUCCGCUCCGCCCCAUUGUUCUUCCUCCUUAAAUAGCUUGUCUCCCCUUUAAUCCUUUGUAUGUGGGUGUCCUUUACUACUUUGCAGUUGGUAGCACCAUCAGCUUCCAUCUAAAAUCGAAUCUCCGUGAAAUUCCCGGUUCAAUUUCUACUGCAAUAUUUAUUAUUUUUAAGCAAUUGAUGAAAAAAUAUGUGAAAUAAUCUGUAAAACUUUAUUCUUAGUAAGGUAAUGUUAGAAAAGUUUACACAUAAUAUUAGCACUAGCAUUUAGCGUGUUUUUUUAUUGGCGUUUAGCGUGUGGGAGGGCAAUCUCAGGGGGUGUUUGGAUCCAUGGACUAAUUUUUAGUUCGGGUCCGUUUGGAUACUGACUAGAAGGACUAAACGUGAACUAAUUAUAAAAUUAAUUACAUAAACCACGGCUAAUUCGCGAGACGAAUCUAUUAAAUCUAAUUAAUUUAUGAUUAGCACAUAUUUAAUGUAACAACACAUGAUUAAAUCAUAACUAAUUGGAUUUAAUAGAUUCAUCUCACGAAUUAGCCUCGUUUAUACAGUUAAGUUUUGUAACCACCGGAACCCGGGAGCCCGAGUCGGAGUCGCGUGCCAUUCCGACCCAGAACCCCAACCAGCCGACAGCCGUGCCGUAAACCCCACCAAGGCGAUGCCGGCGCCGCGGGGGCGGGGCCGGGGCCGGGGCCGGGGCGACCGCCGGAUCGACGCGGCCAUCGACCACUUCGCCGCCAUGGGCUACGCCGCGCGCGACAUCCGCGACGCCAUCGCUGAUCUUCUCAAGGUGACUGUGACUCUCAAUAAUUUUAUUUUCUUUCAUGCGGCAGCAUUGGGCUGCGUGUCGUCGUAGGGUUUAGGUUCUUGAUUUCUCCGCAGGUCGAUUGGGGAUUCAAAAUUCCUUUUCCUUUUGUUCCCGUGUGGAUGGAUUACAAGGCGUUCCCUUGUGUUUGCGGGAUUUGCGCUUCGAUUUGGUGUGAAUCAAUGGAUGCGCUAGCUGAUCGAUCAAUCUCAUCAAUUCUUUGCUUUGCUGUGGGCGUGGGGAAUUGUUAGGUAUACGGCGGCCCUUCCGCGUGGCCCUUGCUGGAGGAAGGCUCCUACCAAGUCGUCCAAGACAAGCUCUUUGAGAAGGAGGACGAGGAGAAGCAGAAGCAGGAGCAGGAGCAGGAGCAGGAGCAGGACCAGACCCUGCUGCUGGAGGGCCAGCAAGUGGAGGAGGAGGAGGAGGAGCCUCCUCAGGUGCCGUGAUUCCUCAUUUUUUUAUUGCCACUGUCUGUCUCACAUUCUCACUUUGUCAUCAGAGCAUUGCCAACAUGGACUUAUUAUCAUUCAUUCUUUAAAAAUCACCUGGCCUCCUUAUUUAAAGACCUGAACCCGUUCCUGGUUUGCCAACAUGUGUACUCAAUGACCUAUCAUCCACGGUCUCUCAGAUUUACCUCACUGCUCCAAUGCCAUCAGUUUCCACUGUGAAUUAUAUGCUUACCAUGUUUGACAACAUGGAUUAUGUUUUGGUAAAAAUGGGAAUGGUCGGGAAUGAUAUCAUAAUGCAGGAUUUAUCCCGACUGUUUUCACCCCCUACAUCAGACCAGAUAUAAGUUGGGACUUAAGUAAGACAACAUAUUUAUGUUAUCGAGAAUACACAGGACAGCAGCAUAUAUUAAAAAGAAUUCUGAAUACAGGAAGGGGAAAGAGGCUAUACUGUAGCUCGCAUGGCCAAACAAAAUGGACAUCUAAGUCUUAAAAAAAUCAAUAGCUUGAAGAAUCCAGCAACUAAAAAAAGGCACAAUCUGAUGGUGUGCUCCAAACAAAGACCAGUCAUUGUAUAUGAUUAUGGUUUCUGUCUCCAUCUAUUUGAUUAUGCACAUGAAAGUGGUGAAAUUGCUUAAAUGUGGCCCUGAUAUGCUCUGUACUUUUGUAGCACCAAGAACCAGCAGUAGACGAGGCACCACCAGAAAACAACAAGUUAAUCUUACUACAUGAUGAGGUACCAGUUGAGACUGAGUCUGCAGACGAAGUGGAAGAUCCUAUGUUCAUUGAACCAUCCCCCCUUGAAGCCAUAGUGCCACUUACUGCGGCUGUAGGGAUUGGUUGCAAAAGGAAACCAUGCUAUGGAUGGCUUACUGAGUCUGAUGAUGAGGAACAGCCCACCAUUCAACAUCAUGAGGUGCAUAUUCCAACUUCAGGAGGAGGCUUGCUUUGUAAAAGAAAUCAAGUCCAGUAGAUGGUAUGUGCAUCCUAUUAACUGGUCAUGUGGCUCUGAUCUCCCUUACUAUGUUAUCAUUGAGUAGUGACUAAAACCAAAUUGCUAUGAAUAAUCAAUAGCUCCAGUUCUAUUGUCAUCGUGUAUCCGUUGGAAGAUGCUUACUAUGGCUUAUGAUUUCCUUCGGUAUGAGCACAGAUGUUGUUACGUCCGAAUAGUGAAUGAAAGGCUUGUGUGGUCAUGGCUACAUUCAAUCAUGUAUAACACUGCUGUAAGAAUGUUCUUUAGUUUUCCUUGAACCAAACACAAUUACAAUGGAAAAGAAAUAUAGAUAUUACAUAUUCCUCUGUCACCAUAAACAAGGUACUAAGCCCAUAAAUCUCAUAUGUUUGCGUGCAUUAUCAAAACUUCCUUGUAAUUCAAGAAGUAACGAAGCUACAAGCCUACAAGAUAGCACUGUUCUUCUGACAAGCAAAUUUGCCAGUAUAUUCCCCAGAGGCUGGAAGAUGGUGGUGCUAUGGUGAGGAUAAGUAGUGAGAUGGAAGCAUUGGAUAGAGACAAUUCCUCUCUGAUUGGUUGGGUUCCAAUUCUUGCCAAGCCAAAAUCAAGGCAUGCCAAAAUCAAGGCUUGCCAAAAUCAGGGCAUGCCAAAGUUAGGGCAAGAAAUUUAGGUAUUCAUUUGGUUUGGUGCUAAAAUAUGACAAACAAUACAUUUUCCCUUUGUGAGCUUCAUGAAAUUUCUAGUGACUUGUCAUGAUUUUUACUAUAAAUAUUGGUAUGCCAAAUUUGUAGUAGUGAACCAAUUGAUAGCCAAAUUUUCUUGGCAUGCCCUGAUUUUUGCUUGGCAAGAAUUGGAACCCAACUAAGCAAGCUCAGUAGCGGCAGUUCAGAGUGGAGAUUGCGAUGAUUCUUUUUCUUUCAUUCUAUGCUAUACUUGUGCAGGACACAUUCAUAAUGUUGCAUUCUGAGUUUUAUCAUAAAAUUGCAUUUGCCUUUUCUAAUAGCUGAUUCUAGUUUCUGAUUUUUUGACAGCGGCAGAUUUCAACCUGACAAAGCCAGUGAUGUGCUGCCUGAAGAAGUGACUUACUGAAGCCUUGCACCUGAGCUUAGUAUAGUCUAGUAGUAGUAGUAGUAUAUCGAUAUAGAAGAGAGGUAACUGUGAUAAGCGCUACCUUCAAUUGGGAGACUAACGGAGCUUCGCCGAUUGAAUAAGCACCAACUUAGAUUGUAGUAUCAUGAUUUUAGAAGCAAGAGGUGAUGUUUAAACUAGGUGGUGGAAUGCUCGUGUUUUUGAACACUUCCAUGAUCAGAGAACGAAUGCAGUGCUGGUAGUGUGGUCUCCCUGGAUGCUUCAAAUGCUGGUUUCCAGUUUUUGUCAGGCUAAACGUGUUUUUCCCCCCUUUCAAGAGUAAAGUGGAAAAAAAGAAGAAAUUUGCAAAAAAAAAAAAUUCCGUUGCCGGGACUCGAACCCGGGUCUCUCGGGUGAGAGCCGAGUAUCCUAACCAGCUAGACUACAACGGAUGGUGCAAUCAGCCUGUUUUGUUGGUGAUUUGUAAGCAAGUUCUAGUCAUUCACCACAGCACAUUCCAUCACGCAUUUGCCAAACGGCGAGCGAGUUGUAUCAAAUAUUUCAAAUUGCACAGGGUUCCGAUCAGCCGCUGCGAGUUCCCAAGAAUACAGCAAAUGCACAAGAUUUCUUCUUCCCAGGAAUUCGCCAGGAGGGUGAUGAAAGGUAUACCUCCAAGAGUCUAAUGCAUUUUCUUUCUUUCUUUCAGCAGAUUCACAGAUUUCUUCUUCAUGUGAAGGCUGUAAACAUUCCCGUUGCUCAGUGCCCUGCACGAGACAAAUCCCAAGCCCCACCUCCACUACCGCCUCCGUCCCCCUCGCCGCCGACGGCGCCAGCCCACUCCAUUAUUCUCCUACUCGCUUCGGAGUUCGGAGGCCUCUCCCUCCCGGCGCCGCCUCCUGUUCCCUCGAGGCCUCGACAGCUUGGCGCUUGCGUCUUCUGGGCGCUGCGGGGUAACCUCUCGCGCCCGCCGCACGCCAGGUGUUCGACCUCAGCCCAGCGAGCAAAUACCCUCUCCCGCCGGCAGGGACACGAUGCUCGCGCUCUCGUCUCCGCCAAGAUGGUCCUGUACGCAAUGCCUCUCGAUUGGUAUCCGCAAUGGCAGUAUGGCACAUCCCAGCACGGAGGCCGAGCAGAGCACGACCACGCAGCUGAAGGAGGCACUGGCCCGUCCGCCUCUCAUCGGGACCGUCCGGGUGGAAGGCCACAUGCUCAAUGAGGUUGGCAAGGCCUCUUUGAGCCUCACAACGCACGAUCCUGCCAACCAAGGAGUUAAUCAGUCAAACCAUCGAGUUUGCACCUCACAGCACAGCGACAAGCUGGCAGUGUUCUUUUCUUGGGAUUGCUGAUUAACACGAGGAGAGGGGCUACUGUUAUCCACCAAACAGGGCAGAACUCGACAAUCUGCAAGGAUUUCCACUCUCUCAUGAAUUGCCCAAGGUAGUACCCGAGGUAUAUUCUACUGUUCGAAUUUUCUCAUGAACUGGUUGAUUUUCCACUUAUGAACUUGACGGCUCAUUCUUCAAGUAUACUAAACUAGCUAGGUGUGUAGUUGUUAAGAGCAUCACGAAUAUGCUCGGCAGCAUACACAAAACUGAUGAACCUAGAAAAGCUAACAAAAUGACACUCUUGUUAUUGUACAAAAAUGUUCUCUUAACUGCAGGCUCGAGAAAUGUAUCUUGUGCAUAUAGUGGGUUACCUUUUCCAAAGGAUGAUGCUGGAUAAAGUCUUGUUGCUAGUCCUUGUGGUCCUUGUGGGGCUGCAGCUGGUCCUUGUGGUCUUUGUGGGGCUGCAGUCCUUGUGGGGCUGUAGUUGCUUUGUUGACUGGAGGACGGUGGGGCUGCAGCAUAUGCUUGCUGCAGCACCACCUUUGUUGACUACUUUUAGGGUAGGACAGUCCUAGGCAUCUUAGACUAAAUAGAACAGCAUCAAAAAAGGCAUCUUAGACUAGCAUAUGCCUUGAUGCUUGGCUGGUUGGUUGCUUGGCCAGCUAUAAAUAUGUAUCCCCGACCCUUGGUUGGAUAUGGUAUUGUGGAAAGAAAACCCAGAAAAUUGCCCCAACUCUUCCUAGUGCCAUCCUCUCGAUGAGAGUUACAGUUCAGAUCCUAACAAAGGAUUCUUCGUCAUCCAUACAGGAUUAAGUGAUAUUGUAGAUAACAUAAUCCCCCUUGUUUUGUCUUUUCACCUUUAUCUUACAGAGCAAACCAACCAAUUAUUCCUUUUAUACUGAUAAACUCACUAGCCCUGAUGUCCCUGGAUCUUGAUUUUCCGUACUUUUGUCUACUCUGGGUGCCAUGUUCUUGUUAGGAGUGAAUGGUUGAUUGUGCUUGUGUUUGACCUUGUGGCAAACAGUAGGUGCUAAGUCGCAGUCAGCAAUCUGGAAGCCUUUUUUCUUAAAGAAAAAUAUUCGAGGCCAACUUGUCACUCCUGAUGUGUCCUGUGUCCAUCAAAUACUAGAUAACAUUAGAUCCUACCACUAGUCGAUGGUAUUCAAGUUCCCUUCCAAAAGCCUAGCUUCCUAUAUGCUCCAUCGCCUUCUUUUCCACUCUGACAUCAAUAUUUCACUCUGAUAUAGCUCUUCCUUAACUCCUUAUCUCUCAGCCGUCCCACUCUGUUUCACUUUCAGAACUAUUCUUGCUGUCCUAGCCUCCUAGGUGGUUAUUUGAGGUUCUCUUAUUCUUUGAUUCAGAACCAGGAGCCUAGUGUCUUUCUAUUUGCUAUAGUAAAGCGAACAGGCCCAAGGACCACAGAUGGUGCCCAUGUUCACCAAGGCUUUGCUUCUACGUAAUUUUUCCUGAAGCAGUGAACGUACUGAUGAGUAAUGGUCCGUCCAUAUGUGGACCUGUCCAUCUCUUUCAAACAGUAUGCCGGUGCUGUGCUGGUCCCAGUCCUUAGGUAAUGUCUUGUUUGGACCAUAUGCACUUGGUAAAAGUUCAUGCAGGACAAACUCUGGAUCUUGUCCACCAAUUGUGAUCAAAUGUUCGCAUCUACUCUUUUCUUGAUUUUCUUCUUCUGGAAAACGACAGGUUCUUAUAUUGAUGUCUACUUCACAUAUUCUCCAUGACCAAAUGGACAGCCGUGGAAGUAUUCAAUAUGGAUCUUACUGCUGCAAAAGUUAUUCUGCAAUUUGUUGGACAAGAGGUAAUAGUGAACUCGCUAGAAACUUAAUACCGACUUCCACCUUGACUAGUUGCAUCUUUCCUGUAUGUACUUAUCUUUCAUCCAUUGGUGCUUCGCUCCUAGUAGCUGGCUGGAACAUAUAAGCCUUCCUUUUUUUGAAGUCGAGGGAGAUUUGGGGCUUUGUUCUUAGCGUUUGUUCUAGCAUUGCAGAUCAUGAGAGGCCAAAGAGGAAAACAAUCAGAGGUAAUUUGUAGAUUGGACUACUUUUUCUCUUUACUAUUCUUGAUAACGCUGAGUUAUCUGACCUGGUGUAAAUUAUAGUCAUUUUGGCCUUCAAUUGUGAUGAAAAAAUGGCUAAACAUCAGGCCAAAAUUAAAUGAUUUCAGUGAAGACGAGUUUGAUACAGGGAGCGAAGAUAAUGGUAUGGCAAACUGCAUGAGUAUUCUCUUGAAAUUUCUUUGCUUGCAUUCUCAGUUCCUUUUCCUUUGGAAUUAGAAUUUGCAUAUUUUUUCUCAGAUUCUUGAUACCUUCAUUUGGAAUAAGAUUUUUCAUAUCUUUACUCAGAUGGUAGUGACUUUGGAGAUGAUAGCUUCUUCGAGAUACAUGGCAACAAAUACUUGAUUAGCAAAUCAUCUGGUACUGCAAAAUUAUAUCCAUAAUGACCCGUAAUGAUGUCUAUAUCUUCAUGCCCAUUUAAGCUUGACAUAACUACAUUACUAUGGCAUGUAUUAGUUGCAUUCAUUAUAAUUAGUUGACAACUAGUGCUUGUGGAGCUACAGUUUCCUUCUUGUUUGUUAUAUACCUUUUUAGGGUAAACCGUUCUUAUCGUUCCUAGUGGUGGCAGAACAAUGGUUCUCUAGCAACUUGGAUUUGCCAAAUAAUAUCCUAACUUCAACCUGCAAAGCUCAUAUUAUGCUAACACCAGUGGCACUUUAUAAAUAGAGUUUAGAAACAAGAAUGAAAUCGUUCUGUGUUUUCAUAAUAUCUUGUUUAGAAAUCUGGUUAGUGUUGAUUUGAAUAGUUAUAUCUGACCUUUUAAGACUCAAACGUUGGCUUAAGCCCACCUUGAUCACACGUUGCUCCAAAACCUGAACAGUUAUAUAUGAUUUUAAUAUGCUGUCAGCACUUUUAGCAAGAAAUCUGUGAGUACACUUUUUCAUGGCCAAUGUAUACAACAACAAAAACAAAGCCUUAUUAGUUGAACUGCUAGGAAGAAGGAAAAAAAGAGAACUUGUUGGCAGCUCAUGUUGGGUUUCAUGAGCCAAUCUAAAAAAAACUCGGCCGGUGGGGGAAAGACCGCCCCCACGGUAUUUUACUCAACCGGAGCCCGGCCGAGAAAAGUCAUGAAAGCUGGCCCCCUCAUACAUGGGGAUGCCGCCCCCUAUGGUUCGGGCCAUGACCUGUGCUUUGAGGCCCAACCCACACGACCAGCCCACCACAGGUCAGUUCACCCAUGCUGACCAAGAGAACCAUCAAGUGACUUUUUUUUACCCAGCCUGAAAUUCACUCCCACAGGGAUUCGAACCCUGGACCUGGGGUGCUACUAAGGUCAUUGCAACCACUAGGAUACAUGCCCCUUUGCUUCAUGAGCCAAUCUAGACACCAUUUUUCAGUGAUCAAAUUUUAAGAAAGCCUCAAUUGCAAAUAUCCCAAACACAUAAUCCUGAAGGGUCAGGAUACAGUUGAUAUUCAUGAUUUUAAGUACAAUGCAAAUUCAUGUCAUGUCUAUUGUUGUUCAAAUCUUUUCCGGUGUUGAAAUUUGCUUGACAUUUUUGUGUGCUAUAUUUUAAGUUGUUCACUCUCUUGCUAGGAGAAAAGGCAAUUCCUCCUGUACGAAGGCUUCAGAGAAGAAAAUCAGAGAGUUUACGUGUUAACUACAUCAGUAACAAAGAUGUGAGGUUUGGCUAUGAUUUCAUCUGUAUUAUUUGAUGUGUUAUGUAUCAAGCAUCUGGUGCCUUUAGAUAAUAGUAGUUGCCACCAGGGUGAUGACAGGAACAUGGAAUGUUGCUGGAAUAGCGCCUAGUGAUGACCUUGAUCUUGAUCAGUGGCUUUGUACCCAGGAGCCAGCAGAUUUGUAUGUUUUAGGGUAUGUACCUUUGCAAAAUAUGAAAAAUGUAUCAUUUGAUUUGGAUAAACAUAAGAUGAUAUUCAAUGCUGUCUUGUUUUUGUAUGGCAUAAUGUGUGGUCCUUUUGCCCAUUGACCAUGACACUAAACAAGGUUAGUUACUGUUUAGGAUAUACUAUUUAAAAUGCUUCACUUGUGUUUCAGUUUCCAGGAAGUGGUCCCAUUAAGUGCUGGUAAUGUCUUGGGAGCAGAGGACAGUAGACCAGUACGGAAAUGGGAGGCUCUUAUCCGCCAAACACUUAACAGGUCUCAGCAACCCAAGACAAUCUGCAAAAGCUACAGUGCUCCCCUGUCACCAUUACUAAGACCUGUUGCUUCAGGCGAUGGACAUGAAUAUAUGAAAUCCAAACUUGAAGAUGAAGCGUUAGGAAGUUUAACUCAGUUUAGAGAUUGGCAAACUAGUACAACUGAGCUUCGCUGCAACUGGUUGUAUGGCACCAGCUCAUUGGACUGGCCAGAAUAUCCGCUUGAUACUCCAUCAAAGGUUUUGGUACCAGGUACAGGGUUGAGGCGAGUGACGAGCUUAGGACUAUUUAGCACCAACUUUAUGGAACACCCUCAAGGUCUUGAGCUACAGAGUGUAGAUUUGCAAGUUGGGAUCAGAAGGCAGUAUCAUAGCUCGGGAAACCUUAGCAUGCUAUGGUCUGAACAGCAGGAGAAGCUUGAUUUAUUAAAUUCGCUUGAUUGCAUAUCUGAUUUGACAUCAGAAGAAGACUCACCUUCUGUUGGUACUGACGAGGGAUGUGCUACUCUUGGGAAAAGAGAAUCUUCAAAGCAUCGUACAAACUAUGUGCGCAUUGUUAGUAAACAAAUGGUUGGUAUAUAUGUUUCUGUAUGGGUUUCUCGAAAACUGAGGCGACAUGUUAACAACUUGGAGGUAUCACCAGUUGGGGUUGGACUCCUGGGCUACAUGGGCAACAAGGUCAUCCUUAGUCCUACAGGAUGUGCAUUUCUAUCAUCUGUCGAUGUGCAGAGUCAAAUGAAGAUGCUGAUUUUAGUUCGUCAUCUUGUUUUUCCUUGUGCAGGGAUCGAUUUCCAUCAGCAUGUCUCUUUUCCAGACUCGAUUGUGCUUUGUCUGCUCCCAUCUCGCAUCUGGUCAUAAAUCAGGGGAUCAACAGAAAAGGAAUGCUGAUGUAUAUGAAAUUUUACAAAGAACAAGGUUUUCUUCCUUGUGUGCUGCUGGUCGGCCACAAAAGAUUCCUUCACAUGAGUAUGUAUAGGCCACUUUGGCCCCAUGAUGUUGUGUUCCUUGAAAAUUAGUUACUCCUAAGGUCAGAAAUAUGCCUUUAGCAAACUGAAUAACUCAGAGAAGCUAUUAAGUUCCUUAAAAUUAUAUUGCACAUAAAAUUGAAAUAUAAAGGUUUAUUGUUGGCAUAGGUAUAACUUUCAGUGACUUUCAUUUCGCAGACUCUCUUUUGACAAUAUAGAAUACAUUUCGAUAGUUGCAUCUAGCAUGAUUUUGUUAGAUGAAUGUUUUGAUUUUGAGGGGUUAAUCAGAUUUCAGAAUUUCAUUUUGGAGCAGUCGAAUUUUCUGGUUUGGGGAUCUUAACUAUCGCAUUGACCUGCUGGAUGCUGAAGUACGACAUCUGGUGGCUAUGAAGAGGUGGGAUGAUCUCUUGAAGUCUGAUCAGGUUUGAAGAUAACCUUUUACAUUUUCAAGAUUGGAUAAUACUAUAUCUAUUACACAAACAGGGUAGUUUUUGCUAAUUCUGAAAAUUAAUUAACAGCCAUUAUAUUUCAGCUAACAAAGGAGCUAAUAAGUGGGAGUACUUUUGUUGGUUGGAAGGAAGGUUUGAUUAACUUUCCACCAACUUACAAGUAUGAAAGAAAUUCAAGCAGAUAUGUUGGUGAGAUUCAUAAUGAAGUGGAGAAAAGAAGAACUCCAGCAUGGUUACGUCUCUUUCUGAUCAUACUAUAUUUUUAUUUGCAAGUGCCCAUGUUUUAGAAUUUUAAAUAGACCAGCCAUGCAUAUGUCGUUCAAGCAUGCAUACCAUGACCGCAUCCUUCAAGUAUCCUUAAUAGAUCAGAGUCUAUUUUGCUGUGUUUCUGAGCUUGAGAUUUGUUCUGUCACAAUUAUAGCUACUAUCUAUUCCAGUAAUUGGAUGAACCACGUUUUGAAGGUGCUCAACUGUUCAGUGUAUUGCAAAUGAAUCAGGUGCGAUCGCAUACUGUGGCUGGGGAAGGGUACCAAGCAGCUCUCGUAUUGGAGCUCGGAUUUGAGCUUUUCAGAUCAUCGGCCAGUCAGCGCCAUCUUCUUGGUUGAAGUCGAGGUGUUCAAUCAGCAAAAACUUGAAAGGGUCUUGAACUUCAAUCCUGGAUCGUUUCAAAGGGGUAACAUAACAUGAUGGCGGAUUCCUGGACUUUUUUUCAGUCAGUGGCACUGAGCUGAGCAUUGAACUCUUCAGCAGUUAUUCUGUUGGAUUUAGUCUUGGAUUUAGUUUUCUAGGAACACCUAGAUGUUGGGGUAAAGAUUUUGGUAUAUGUUGGGAGCAUGAGUCGUAUGUAACUGAAGUACUGCCCACUAGAUUGCACAUGGGAAUAUUUCAGACUGAAAUGAAUUUAGAGUGAAAUGCAUUGUAGGUCUCUAAACUAUUCCUACAUUCUCAUUUGGGUCCAUGAACUCUCGAAGUGACAUCUGGAUCCAUGUUUAUUCCAAGUGUGAAUCUAGGUUCAUGAUUGGAACUCGAGUGAAUUUAGAAUGAACUAGUUGAAAAGUUAAAGGACCUACAUGAUCAUUUUAGAAUGCGGAAUUGUUUAGGGACCUGCAAUGCAUUUCACUCAUGAAUUUAAGUGAAGAGAAAAUCAUUUUGCCAUAUCUAUGCGCUCCUGUAUCACAAUCGAACUAGCUUGAACUAUCAGUGCAUUAUUCACUUCUUUUCGCCAUCCUAUAUCUGAUUUUAUGCAUCGUUUUAAGUUGCUCAGGAAAUGUCCAUGCUCAUGUUUGUCCUGUCUAGUCUUGAGCUCCCACGCUUCGAAAGUAACGAGCUUGAAAGGGCAAGAACCUCUGUACCAGACAUAAAUUUGUUGAAUUAACGUAUUGCCACUAUGUAGAAUGUACUUGCGAGUAUUCCUCGUUGGUUGUGAGUGAAUUGAAAAAAAUUGCUUUCAUAUAAUUCGGUCAAAGUAGCUCAAACUAUUAGUGGAUUAUUCCAUCCUUUCCGCUGUCCUAUAAAUAUACUCCCUCCAUCCCAAAUUACUAUUUAUUUUGACUUUUCUAAAUACGUAACUUUUACUAUGUAUCUAGAUAUAAUAUAUACCUAGGUACAUAUCAAAUGCCAUGUGCCAAAACAAAUAGUAAUUUGAGAUGGAGGGAAUGUGAUUUUGCGCAAAGGUCUGAGUAGGUCAUGUUUGUAGUGAUCUUAAGCUCUGUAAGGCAAUAACCUCUGUACCGGUGUCAACUUAAAUAAAACUCUCAUACAUAUAAGUAAAGUAUGUAAGGGUUUAUAAGAGCAGGGCUGCCAGUCUUACGACGACUCAGCUCUUUUGGGUUGGCAAAUUCAGACAUCUCCAAAGUGUGCUAGUAAUUUCCCUUCGUCAACAUGCAACGCUCAUUCACUUUACAGGUAAGAAACACAUUGGGCCUUAGAAGGGCACUAUCUUGAUCCAGAAAAUGUUUUCUUCCAGGCAUUAACAAAGACAAUGCCCACUAUGCUUCUGUACAAAGUUCAGCAUACCAUGGUUGCUAUUCACCCAUAUAAGGGCUCAAAAUUGACCUGCUCGGAUAUCUCUAUCUAUGCGAUCUGCAUUAAGUGUUCCUGGUAGCUCCCUGAAGUCUUCAUUGAAUAUAGAGUAUGCACUGCAUGGAAGGUAGAACAAAUGGAAAUUUGAGACUCAGAAAAGUAUAACCUGCAACCACCCAACAUUCUCUUCAUAAACAUAAUUUUCAUCAGCUAUUACAACUAAAUUUAACACUAUAAGAACUUUGCAUCUUAAUGGCCCUCUUCUUUUUUUUAUUCAGGUGCAAGCACUGGCAUUGGCAAAAAAAUGAUUCCCUGCGUCUUAGUAGAGAAACAUCAUUAUGGCUGAUCAGCAUGACAAGCCCAGAGAAAGUAGAACUGAACAGAAUAAACAUAUAACUAGCACUAACGAAAAAAAUGAUUAACACUGACAAAAAAGAAAAGUAAAUCUCUAGUGUGACAAUAAAGAAACAUCGAUUUGGUUUACCAUCGUGACAAGCCAGGGCAUACCAGAAGUGAGUUACAGCUAUUCUAGCAAAAAUACACCCAUAGUUUGAUAGAUCACAGUACGACUGCCUUGGCACCAGCUUUUGGCCAAAAGAAAAAAAAAGUCUGAUACCCAUAGUCUGAUGCAGGCCAAACAGUUUUUUAGCUACUAUUACUAUUAGAAAACUUUGCCUUUUCACAUAGAAAAUAUAUCUUUUUGUUGGAGUAUGUGUGUAUUAUGGCCCAAUAAGGCCCAUGUAUGACUACUAUAUAGCUACCCUUCUAGGGUUAGCCCAAUAGACAAGGAAUUACAUCUCUAUCAUGGUAUUAGACUAGGUUUUCUCCUCACCUCCCUCUCCCAGCCGCCAGUGCCAGGGCGCCGCCGCCGGCAGCCGUGGGCGCCAUGGCCGGCGGCCCUCUUCCCCCUCCUCCCUCCUACUUCCAUGCCUUCCCAUCCCUUCCUUCCACAUGGGCCCAGGUCGCCUCGGGAAGGCCUCCCGCGGGCGCGGCCGCCGCUUCCACGGCGCUGGCCGCCGCCGCCGGGAUCCUUGGCGCGGGCGCGGAUCCAGCCCCCGACGAUGACGCGGGCCACGAUGGGGCUCUGGACGCCGCUGCGGUCCUACGCGCGGGCGCGGGAUGCGACCCUGACGGCGCCGCUGCAGCCGCCGUUGCGGCCCUCCGCGCAGGCGUAGGCGGGCGCGCGGGCGUCGAUCCAGCCGGCGUGGAUCCAGCCGCGGCCGCGGCUCUCCGCCAGGGCGCGGGCGGCCCUGCGGGUGCGGAUCCCGCCGCUGCUGGCUUCGUACCACACCUUCCCUUCCCCGCCCCGCCUCCUCUGCCACCUCCUCACCAACACGCAGCAGGCCCUCCCGAUUCAGCCCUCGUUGCGGCCCUCGUCGCCGCCCGGGCUGCUGCCGCAGAGGACCAGGCACGCCUGCGCGCAGCGGCCCUGACCUGGGAGCACGAGCGUGAUGCGGCCGACGUCUUGGCCCGUCAGAUCGCUGAGGCGGAGCAGCUCCUCGUCCACCCGGUGUACCACGACAGCACUGCCACCUCCUCCGGCUCCGGGGCUCCCCGUCCGCCUGUGGUUGUCUGGACCGACCCGGCCGAUCCACUCGUUGCGCAGCUACAUUACCAGGCCGGGGGCGUUCAGAACAUCAAGAGCUUGGUCCCAGUCGUCCUCGACCCUGAGUCGCCCUCCUACGCCCGCUGGCGGGACAUGGUGCUGCUCAUUCUCCGCCGCUACGCCCUCGACGACCAUGUCCUCACCGACACCUUCCCUGCGGCUCGGACAGCUGCGUGGCUUCGCCUCGACAGCAUCGUCCUGUCGUGGAUCCUGGGAACCAUCUCCCUCGACCUCCACGACCUCGUCCGCGGCACCCCCGACACCACCGCUCACCAGGCCAGUUCCUGGGCAACGCCGAAGCCCGGGCCCUUCGUCUCGACGCGAGCUUCCGCACCUUCGUCCAGGGCGACCUCUCCGUUGGCGAGUUCUGCCGGAAGAUGAAGACCAUGGCGGACUCCCUCGGUGACCUUGGCUGGGCCGUGGAGGACCGGAUCUUGGUUCUCAACGUUCUUCGCGGCCUCAACGAGCGCUACGCCCACCUCCGCACCUGGAUCACCCGGCAGCGGCCCUUCCCCACUUUCCUGCAGGUCCGUGAUGACCUUGUCAUGGAGGAGCUUACUCAAGGCAUCCAGCCUGGGUCCCUUCCCGCGCCGGGCUCCUCGUCUUCCUCGACCGCUCUUGCCGUGACUCCUACGCCACGUCCUUCCGCUUCGCCACCGUCGUCCCUUCUUGGUCCUCCUCCUCCUGGGCCGAGCGGGAGUGGGGGGGGCCGUGGCGGCCGCCGUCGCCGCGGCGGGGGGCGUGGUGCGGGCACUGGUCGUGGGGGCACACCGGCAUCUCCACGGGGUUCUUCCUGGCCAUCCUUGGCCAACCCAUGGUCAGGGCGCAUCUCCAUGUGGCCCUUCCAGGCCACCGGCGGCGAGCCUCGUCCACCGGCCGCCAUGCUCGCUGGCGCUGUACCGGUUGCUCCGUUUUCAUCGCCGUGGGCUCCACCUCCCGGGGCCUCGCCUGGGCCUGUCGGGUGGGACCCGACAGCCUUGGCCCGCUCUUUCGGCACCAUGACCCUGACUCCUCCAGUCGGCCAGGACUGGAUCGCCGACUUGGGUGCCACUUUCUAUACUACACCCAACCCUGGUAUACUCUCUUCUGUUCACCCUCCUUCUUCCUCCCACCCUUCGUCCAUCAUGGUCGCAAAUGGCUCUUGUCUUCCUAUCACUUCCGUGGGUACCGCUCACACUCACGGUUCUUUUCGGAUUCCUGAUGUUCUUGUUGCUCCCUCCAUGGUUCACAACCUUCUUUCUAUUCGCCGUUUUACAGCUGACAAUUCUUGUUCUGUUGAAUUUGACUCCUCUGGUCUUGCUGUGAAGGAUUUGGCUACCUGGCGACCUCUUCUCCGAUGUGACAGCACCGGGCCCCUUUACUCCCUUCGGUUUCCUGCGUCCACUCCUUCCGCUUCGCCCUCCGCUUCUUCAGCUGCUUUUGCCGCCACCACUUCUUCCACUACAUGGCACCGGCGUCUUGGGCAUCCUGGCCGUGAUGCCCUGACACAGCUUAGUCGUAGUUCCGACAUACCAUGUACUCGGGCUCACGAUGAGCACCUGUGUCAGGCGUGCCAACUGGGUCGUCAUGUUCGCCUUCCGUUUCCUACCUCCUCUUCACAUGCGACCCAUAUUUUUGAUCUUGUACAUUGCGACCUAGGGACAUCGCCUGUUUUGAGCAUUUCUGGCUAUAAGUAUUAUCUUGUUGUGGUUGAUGAUUUCUCUCAUUAUUCUUGGACUUUUCCCUUGCGUGCCAAGUCUGAUGCUUUCCCCACGCUUGCCUACUUCUUCGCCUGGGUGUCCACUCAGUUCGGCCUCACCAUCAAGGCCGUCCAAUGUGACAACGGCCGCGAGUUCGAUAACACCACCUCCCGUGCCUUCUUCCUCUCUCACGGUGUGCAACUACGCAUGUCAUGUCCCUAUACCUCCUCCCAGAACGGUAAGGCUGAACGCAUGAUUCGUACCACGAACGACACCAUGCGCUCUCUUCUGUUCCAGUCUUCUCUCCCUGCCCACUUCUGGGCUGAGAGUCUUCACACCUCCACCUAUCUCCUUAAUCGCCUACCUACCGUUGCCUGCCCCGCUCCCACUCCACACCACGCUCUUUUCGGUACCUCCCCCCGCUACGAUCACCUUCGUGUCUUCGGGUGUGCGUGUUAUCCUAACACCACUGCCACCGCUCCUCAUAAGCUGGCUCCCCGUUCGACUCAGUGCGUCUUCCUCGGGUACUCCCCGGAUCACAAGGGGUACCGUUGCUUUGACCUCUCCUCUCGGCGGGUCCUCAUCUCUCGCCACGUGGUGUUUGACGAGUCCGUCUUCCCUUUCUCCACCACCUCCCCACCCCCUUCCACCUCCGACCCUGAUCUCUCCUCCCUGUUUCCCACUGACCCGGUGGACCAGCCACCGUUGACGUUGUGUCCUGCAGGUACUGCUCCACCGUGGUUUUCGCCGGGCUCGACGUCCACCGGUGCUGCCCCUGACCCUGUGCCCAGCGAGGGUCCGACGGCGCCAGACUCUGGUGCUGCCCCUACCCCUCCGCCCUGCGCGGGGCCGGAGGCACCGCCCUCAGCAACUGCUGCGCGGUUCGCGCAGCCAGUGCGCGUCUACCAGCGCCGCGCGCGGCCGGCUCCACUACACCUGGAGCCGGCCACGCCACCGCCGUCGCCGCCUCGGUCACCGCCUAUGGACUCUUCUCCGCCGACGACGCCUACACCACCACCUCCGCCGGCCCCGACUGCCCGUGUCGCGCCGUCGGUGUACCACCCGCCUCUCCUACACCGGCACUCGCGUCAUGUUCACCCUAUGGUGACGCGACACGCGGCUGGUACCCUGCAGCCCCAGGCUCUUACAGCGAUGCCCGGCGAGCCGCAGGUCUCUCCUGUACCCUCCUCCGUCCGCGGCGCCCUGUCGGACCCUCACUGGCGCCGCGCGAUGGAAGAGGAGUACGCGGCGCUCCUCGCCAACCAGACUUGGGAUCUGGUGCCCCGUCCGCCUGGCUCCAACGUCGUCACCGGCAAGUGGCUCUGGACACACAAGCGGCGAGCUGAUGGUACCCUCGAUCGGUACAAGGCCCGCUGGGUUCUCCGGGGUUUCACUCAGCGCCCUGGUGUCGACUACGACGAGACGUUCAGUCCGGUGGUCAAGCCAGCUACCGUCCGGACUGUUCUCUCACUGGCUCUCUCCCGCUCCUGGCCCGUGCAUCAGCUCGACGUCAAGACACCUUCCUGCACGGUACUCUGACUGAGACAGUUUACUGCAGCCAGCCAGCGGGUUUCGUUGAUUCUUCUCGGCCUGAUAUGGUCUGCCGGCUCAACAAGUCACUCUAUGGCCUCAAGCAAGCCCCUCGAGCUUGGUAUUCGCGGUUUGCUGCCUACCUACUGACGCUGGGUUUUGUGGAGGCCAAGUCCGAUACUUCUCUGUUUAUCUAUCACCAUGGUGUUGAGACUGCUUAUCUGCUGCUCUAUGUUGAUGACAUUGUCCUCACUGCCUCGAGUCCAUCCCUCCUACGGCGGAUCAUCACCUCACUUCAGCAGGAGUUCGCUAUGAAGGAUCUGGGUGUGCUCCAUCACUUUCUCGGGGUCACCGUUGAGCCUCGUCAGGCCGGCCUCUUUCUUCACCAGCGGCAGUACACUCUUGAUAUCCUGGAGCGAGCUGGGAUGACUGACUGCAAGCCCUGCUCCACUCCAGUUGACACUCAGGCCAAGUUGUCAGAGGCCGACGGCACUCCUGUGACAGAUGCUACUGCGUACCGGAGUCUGGCUGGGGCCCUUCAGUACCUCACCUUCACCAGGCCGGAUAUCACUUAUGCGGUUCAGCAGAUUUGCCUACACAUGCAUGAUCCCAGGGAGCCCCAUCUCACUGCUCUCAAGCGCCUACUCCGUUACCUCCGGGGCACUGUGGACUACGGCCUCCUCCUUCACAGGUCUCCCUCCACUGAGCUCGUUGUCUACACCGACGCUGACUGGGCCGGGUGUCCGGACACUCAGCGCUCCACCUCCGGCUACGCCGUCUUUCUGGGCGGCAACCUGGUGUCCUGGUCGUCCAAGCGUCAGCCGGUGGUCUCCCGCUCCAGUGCCGAGGCGGAGUACCGCGUUGUCGCUAACGGCGUGGCAGAGGCAUCGUGGCUUUGACAGCUCCUUGCCGAGCUCCACACUCCUCUCUCCCGGAGCACUCUUGUCUACUGCGACAACGUCAGUGCGGUGUACCUCUCCACCAACCCUGUUCAGCACCAGCGGACCAAACAUGUGGAGAUCGACCUUCACUUCGUCCGGGAUCGGGUCGCCAUCGGCAAUGUUCGGGUCCUCCACGUCCCGACCACCUCUCAGUUUGCCGACAUCUUCACCAAGGGCCUCCCGUCAUCUGCCUUCACCGAGUUUCGCUCCAGCCUCAACAUCACCAGUGACUAGUUGCGUCUGUGGGGGGGCUCGUGUGUGUGUCCUUCUUCUUUUCAUGUCUAGUCUGCAACUCCGCUGCGUCGGUAGUUCAGACUGCGGGGGAGUGUUGGAGUAUGUGUGUAUUAUGGCCCAAUAAGGCCCAUGUAUGACUACUAUAUAGCUACCCUUCUAGGGUUAGCCCAAUAGACAAGGAAUUACAUCUCUAUCACUUUUUCUCCAAGGAGUGGAGCAGAUCAGGAUCCUCUGCAGUUCUAUCAAUAGAGAGUGAAUAGUGAUGUGCAUUAGGAGGUCUUCUCAACCAUCAGAUCAGAUUUAGAUGGUGUAGAUCCACUGCCACACAAGCUGAAGCGCUGCCUCAACAAACAACAUUCCAUGCUAAACUACUACAGCAGGCUGUAGCACAAGGAACAAAUCACUGUGCAUCUGUACAUUAUUGCAGAGGGUCUGUCUGGAGGGGAAAAAGUAUGCAAUGCAUCAUAACACAUCAUACCUAGUUGCCAAACAGUUGAGUAGAAUAAGCUAUUUCAUGGUACAGUACACAAUAUUGGUGAGGUUUAUUCUUUCCAAAUGGAAGCCAAAUUUUCACUGUCAACAACUCAGAAAUAACAGAUUUAAGGUACCAGAAAACAUACCUAACAUCACCUUGUUGUCGUCUUCCAAGAUUAAGAAGUAUGAUCAAGAAACCGGUACCAAGUAUCUGGGUAGACAGCAAACAGUAGCAUUUGUCCAUGAAUUGAAACGUAUCAACAGAUUCAACAAUUUGGUCAUUGCAAACCCUUACUACAGAGAUUUUAGCAUCAAGGUUAAUCACAGUAUCAGUAUCCCCUGGCUGGAGCUAGAGACUGAUAUUUUCAAUUCUUCGGUAACUGAUUCUAAAUGUGUUUUGAAUGCUUAGAUGCACCUCAUUGUCAGGAUGAGCAUAAUAUAUACCACUGAUAAUUAUCGGUUAGAGACACUAAAUACUGAAUGAGUCACUUACAUAUAGAGGUCCAAGGUUAUAGUGUUGAGCUAUAGGUGCAAAUAGGAACCACAUUGCAAUAAUAAUCCAUGCCUUCAUACUGAGCGAAAACAGCCCCAUCAAAAUGAUAUCUGAAGAAGCAGAAUGCGCGUUAAAUUCAUCAUGCUACCAUUUCAUUUCACCAGACAAUAGAGGUUCACCAUGAUUGUACAUACCAGGUAAUCUCAAUUUGUCUCGUAGGAACAUGAAGAUUUUCCUCUUCCACAAGGUUGUCGUUUGUGGUAUUUUGAACUUCUAUACAAAUGGCCAGAUGGGUGAUUGUUAUGAGGGGCACCAAAACAUCAUAAAAACUACAAGCCUCUCAGAAAUACUGUGAGAACAGAAUACGCUUACCAGUUCUUCCUCUUCCUCCUCAUCAUCGUCAUUGUCAAGGAGAUGCUUAGCAGGCGGCUUAGGGGCCACGGCUACUAUUAGUGUAUCUACAGAAAUCACGAAGACUAAAAUUCAGAAGAGACAAGUAGGAACUCAAUUUGCAUCAUCAAUCUCGCAAAUGUUGACCAGGAGGGGGAUAGGGAUUCAGGUUUAGGUUACCCACCCCCAUCGCGGAAGUUGACAUGGGCGUCGUCUUGGUGCGGGAGCGGCCUCCCCCGCAGGACCAGGCGGAGGCGGCCCUCUUCUGUGGCUUCGAGACGGCGGUCGCGCGCGACGCGGCGGCGAAGCUCGGAGACCUAGAAGGAGACAAGACAAACAUCAGGGAGGGAGGCAGACUAACCUAGGGGAGACGAGGGAGGGUUUGGGGGGUUGGAGGUGUUACCGACCGAGAGAAGAGGAGGGAGGCGGAUGGUGGUGGGGCGGGACGGACCGACGGCGCGCAGCGUCACCUCCACUGUCUCCGGCUCGUCGCCGGCGGCAGCCAUCGCCGGGCUCUCGUCACUCGUCAGGAAGAGAGAGGACUGCGACUCUGCGAGAUUCGUUUUCUUUUUUUUGAGGGGGGACUCUCCGAGAUUCGUGGUCGAUUCUUGUGCGGCUCUGGGCCUUGGACCAUUGGACAACUAGUCUCGGUCGCACACGGCAAGGCCACGACUGAUUAGGCCCAUCCCAUUUGGCAGGUCUGGAACUGAUAACAGGCCCAGCCCAGAGCACAAUUGAAUGGUCGGCCGGUUCGGCAAUUGCAUUUUUUUUUGAACAAAUAACUGCAGAAUCGCAGCACUGCAGUCUGAAUUCCCUAGAUAAUCUGACUACAAACUGAAUUGAUUAGAAGCAUUAAUAUGGUCCAUAAUAGAUUUCCCUUCAGACGAUCCAUUGCAAUAUAAAAGAAGAGAGGCUGCAACAUCAAAAUUAACUUUUUGCAACAUAAAAAACAAUAGCUUACUAGCAUCAAUCCUAUAGAUCUUAAGAAAAAAAUUCCUUCCGCAACAAAUGUGGAUGUUUCCCUAUUUUUAGUAAAAAAAAUGGCAACUCUACAAAUUAGCUAAUGAAACAUCAAAAAACACCUUAUGCAACAUACAGUCUGUUGCAAUGUCAAUAAAAAGUCUAGCAUUCCAAAUCGAUUUUUGCAACGUACAAUAACCUCAACAUCUCAAACUAUCCAUUGCAAUAUUGAACUUUCUAGCUUGUUAAAGUGCUCGCUAGGUGUGAAGCGCAGCAACCCUGAGGGCCAACUUGAGCUCACCUAUGGCUUGCACUUCAAUUCGUCGAUGGAGUUGUCGGUAGGCACAACCGCACGAGCUCCCGCUGCUCCGCUUCGCCAUGGCGUCGAGCAGCAUGAUCUCGUUGAGGGAAGCACCCACCGCACGCUGGCUCAACCUCCACAGGCUGCUUGCUGUGGCCCCGCGAUGCGCCGCCGCGCAACCUUUGUAUGACACCACAUUUGGUAUUUGCCAAGUCCACCAAACUGCCCAUUGAAAAAGAAUGGAGCAAAAGAGAGAAUGGUUGGGGAAGAAGGAGGGAAGAGAUAAGGUUCUCUGGUGGUCCCGUUCACAUGGGAAAAGGAGGGGUCCCGUUCACAUGGGAAAAGGAGGGGGUGUUAGAGCGCGCGUGAGCGUGCGGUGCGUCCAAUUUUUAUUGACCGUGUCGGAGACAUAUGCAAUAGCAUUAUCGUUAACAAAAAUUAGAACUAACCUUAUUUUGUUUUGAGUUAGAAAGAACCAACCAAAUACUCAUUUGGGUAGGGUCUCCCCUGCCGGUUCCUUAAAAAAAAACUAAAUACUCAUUUUUUUACUUCCAAAGCAUGUAUUUGGGGAAUCCAACCAAUUUCAUGAGGGAUGGGCCAACGCCGCGCAGCGUCACCAUUCACCUCCACAAUCUCCUGCUACCGGCGGUAGCCACGGCCAGUCUCUUGCAGCCUACCCCUCUCUGUGAAGAGGGCUUGAUACUUUGUGCGGCUCCGGGCCUUGGACCGUUGGAUAACUGGCCUGGUCGCACAGCAAAGACUACGGGUAGUCAGCGGUCAGCCAGGUGACCUACCAGUGGUCUUUCCGAGAUAAGUUGACUAAAAAAAUCUGAAACAAACUUACAAACAAAUAUAAUUAAUUAUUAAUAUUUCUAUAGUUUAUGUCAUCCAACCUGAAAGGACCAACAACAUACUCUUAUGUCUUUAGAGUGAAAGUUAAGAACAACUCAGGUAGGGAUCUGCUUAGGCUCAGCAAACCCUCUACUUGAUCCCCGAAAAUGUGUGUGUGGGGGGGAGGGUGGGGGUAGGGGGGUUCACGAUAAGAAGGUGCCGCACAGGGUUCACAAAAUAAAAUGAGGAAAAAAAAGAAAAUAAGGAAGAUUAUAGGACUAAUUCUAUCCAUAAAGAUAUGGCUUGUUGGAGUAGCACCUUUGCUCCUAGGAUAACUAGAGAACCGAUCGAAGACAUAGCUGAAUUUGUUUGAAGAUUGAGUCAAUUCCCUUAGUGCCACAAAAAUUUACAUGAGUUCCUUUACUGUUAUAGAUUUUCUCAAAAUUCCUUCAGUGCUAUUAAAAUUUAGAUUUAUCCCCUCAGUAUCAUUUCGUAAGGAAGAUUAUAGGACUAAUCUUUAUGCAAGAUAUGGCUCGUUGGAGUAGCACCUUUGCUCCUAGGAUAACUAGAGAACCGAUCAAAGACAUAGCUGAAUUUGCUUGAAGAUUGAGUCAAUUUCCUCGGUGCCACAAAAAUUUACAUGAGUUCCUUUACUGUUAUAGAUUUUCACAAAAUUCCUUCAGCAGUACCAUUCCGUGUAGUUGAAAAAAAUCAUUUUAUCCCUCAUGAAUAAGGAGCCAACCUGUUUCUUUCCUUGUGUAAACUUGUCCUCCGUGGAUUUAGCAUUCUAUCGGCCUGGGUUCACGAGAGGUUAUUGAGCAGGACACGGGCGAAUACGAUUCUGUAACCGAGCCGCAUCGGGAGCUGCACAUACGUUUGCGGCACAAAGCAUAUACAUAUCGCUGCACAUGACGCGCAGCCUGUUGUAUUCGCAACUUGCUUCAAGCUCACAAUUUUUCAACUUUCUGGUAGCAGCACCAGGUACCAUUCUUGCGUUCUUCUUCCACUCGAUCCGCAUCUACGCAGAAUGUUCCUUAUUGGAGCUGUUCCAACCCACGUAUAUUUCCAACUAAACAUGGGUUCAACUGGGUUCAACUAGGUUCAACCCAUCCUAACCCACUUCAACCCUCUAUCCAAACACAUGCUAAGGCGAAGACAAUGCAAGAAGCUGUGAGGUGAGCGAGUGUCAUGGCGCAAAUCCUCACACUCCUCCUGUACCACCAACACCACAUCCACCGUAGCCUGCGGCGACGGUGGCGGUGCCAACUCGGGCGCAGCCUUCGUCAGCCUUGCUGUUAAAGUGCGCAGUGGAUUCCGACCCAACUCGAUAUACCCACAAGCCGGCACCCCACUAGCUCCAAGUCCACCGGAGCCCACAACAAUAAGAUCUCGGGCCUAACUCAACCCAAAAGACUAGCCUGAUGGGUGAGGGUUGCUCCUACCUAUAUGUUGUGCUCCCCCACCAUCAAUUUUCAAUGUGGGACUAAACCUAACACUUUGCCACGGUAAAAUGGUACUUUCAACUACACUUAACACUAAUGGAUAGAACCGGAAUGGUAAUCUAAAUUUCAGUGGCACUGCAGGAAUUUUAAGAAAAUCUAUGGCAGUGAAGGAACUCACGUAAAUUUCUGUGGCACCGAGGGAUCCUUUCCAUCCAUAUGGACAACCUCAUCAUUCUUUUCUGAACCUGUCCUUGACCUUUGAAGUUCAUGGUCUCAUCUAUUGCGCGGCAGAGCCGGUUGCCGGUCCAUGGCGCCGUGAGGAACUUCCAUCCAUCCCGGCAUUAGGCUUCUCUCCCACGCCCUUAGUCUUUACUCGCGAAUCCCUGUGUUGCUUACGCAGGUUCGUAGGAAGUCGCGAUUCAGCAGCAAUUCCAACGAUUCCAUGAGCCAUAUCGCGAUCCUGUAGCGAUACUACUGAAAAAUGAUCCAUGUUGCGACUCGGAUCGCUUAGCCCAGAUGGGGUCGUAGGAUCGUCCGAUCCUACGAUCCGGAUCGCGAUCCUAACAACCAUGUACUUACUACUCUGUGCUCCUUAAUCUUCAAUUAAGAAGCUCCAAGAUCACUCCUAGUGCAAUGCUUGCUCUUGACAUCCAAAUAUUGCUAUGAACUUCACUGAGUGCUAAGAGUGCUAAAAUGUUUGAACACAUCAAGUAUUUAUAGGCGAAGGAAAAGAACUAGCCGUUUGCGCUCACUUGCUGUAGAAAAAUCGAAAUCAUCGACUGAUUUCGUGAUGCCAGGGUGCCAUCACUGAUCAGUCUGUGAUGCUUUUCUCUUGAUCCUCAACGGUCACGACAAAAAACUCGACUUAAACGUUGAUCUAGAAGCACUAUUCAUUGGAUCACAUCACCGAUCUAUCCGGUGAACGCUGCAGCCUACCACUGUUGACACCAACACUAACGAUGUAUUAUGUCGGCAAUCACCGAUUAAGUCGAUGAUAUUCUAUAAGUCUUAAAACUCAUUCAAUUAAAAAAUCUUUAAUUUUUGACUUUUCUUCUUCACUUCUUUAGGCUUCAUCUGAUCUACCUAGUGCCAAAUUUCACAAGUAUGCACCGUGCAUGUACUCUAAAUCUCAUCUAGAUCAAGCUACUAAUCAUUGCCCCAUUAUUAGUACGACCAAAGAGAAAAUAAAGAUCUAAACUAUUCCAAGUGUCUCUCAACACCAAAAAAAAUUCGGAACUAGCUCAUCCAUAGUCUUCGCGCAUAUCGUUUGACCCAAUACAAUGAAAUCCAAUGAUGGGGAAAAAUAAUAUCAUGAAACCAAUCAUUGUACUAACUUUUUAAUUAUCGUUGCAAAAUACAUGUUCGUUAAUUGUCAAAACCAAAUUAGAGGCCAUAUGCUCUUUUAUGGGAACUCGGCACUAAAGUGGAAGAAAAGGGCAAAAUGUGCAAGAGGAUAAUGCUCAAUCAUGGCAAUAACUACAAGACAUAAAGCAAUGCUUUACAAUAAAUAAAACUAGCUUUUGUACCAUUAUGCUUAAGGUUAGUCUCAGUGUACAUUUUCAAUGCACUGUCACUAAAACUGUCAUGCCAGCUUUAUAAUGAAAUAAAAUUAUCUCUCUCAGUGCACAAUUUCAUACCACUGUUUUAUAGACAAGUUGUAGUUUUUAAUUCUUGCAUGGUGUUGUGAUCAAAUAUACCAUGCUACGUAGCCUUUUGUAAUUUUAUAAAAUUUUGGUAGCAUAAACAUGAUUACAUUGGAAAAUAAGCAUGGGUUAUAUGUGGCAAUCUAUCAUAUUUGAAAAUUCACAUAGGUAAGUAAAUAAAGUCACGAAAAUGUAUCAAUUAACUUCAUGAAAAUGUAUCAAUUAAUUUCAAUAUUUGUACGGAACUGAUUACAUCUCAAACUUUAAAUAUUUGGACGAUGCCCAAACUUGUUCCAAAUAUGCUCCAUCAAGUCCUUCUUAAGUUGUAAAUCAUUUUGUGGAAACAAAUGAACUAUCAUUCUAAUGUGAACAAUUAACAUAUAUAGUUUUGUUUAAAUGCGGGAGCGGGAGAAGGGUUGAGAGCAGGCGACAUAAAAAAGCACAAUGGAUCUAUGAUGAAACGAUAUGCUCCUCGGUACGGGCUACAUGAGGUUUCAUGGGACUUAGUAACUAUGCCUAGGUGUCAUAGGCAUGCAACUCCCCUUUCCUCUCUCCUCAUAAUUAGCUUGCCAAGUUAGCAAAACUGCUGUUAUGAUAUAGAAUUUAAUAUUCAUGAAACCUCCAUGACACCCUAAUAUUAGCCUAAGAAAUUCCACGAUUAAGUAGCCCCCAAGUAAUAUUGAAAAUAUUUUGGCCAAGGGAGAAGACCAUCUCCUUUAAUUAAAUAUGGGAAUAUACCAUAGGGAAGAAAAACCAAUGGCUCAUCCACACUACACACAUGCUACUGCAAUUCAUACAAGUAACAGAGCAGCAACAUAGUUGGGAGCAAAAAAAAUAUAUGUAUGGUGAUCAAUAUUUUAAAUAAUAGACUAUAACAUUUGGCAGAGAGCUAAGCUCAGCCGCUAUAUACUGUGGUAUCUGACACUGACGGCGAUAUGUGGGUAGGAGCUGAAAAAGGUGCGCAUACAUGAUGAUUAUCCGAUCCAUAUAUGUCUUAUCAACUUAUCGCUUAUACAUAUACAUAUACAUAUACAUAUACAUAUACAUAUACAUAUACAUAUACAUAUACAUAUACAUAUACAUAUACAUAUACAUAUACAUAUACAUAUACAUAUACAUAUACAUAUACAUAUACAUAUACAUAUACAUAUACUACUCUAUCUAUCCAAAAAUAAAUGUUAUUUUAGUGUUGAAAAUUUAUCUAAAAAAUAAUGCAUUUAUAGGUUUUAAACAAGCUUAAGUGGACAUUAACUUUAUCACCCUGACAAGUCACAAAUUUAUUAGCAAGCCUCCCUCUGAUUUAGGGUAUUUAUGUAAUCGUGUGCAACAAUUAAAUGGCUCAGCUCGGCUAUCAAAUCCAAAUCAAAUUGAUUAGGAGCAUAUAUGAUAUUUUGGAAUUUUCAAAAAGAGCAUUUAUUUGGGAGGGAGGAAGUACCUGCUAAAAUACAUUUAAUCUUUUUUUAAAAAAAGUUGCCAUGAGCACUGGGCCAUCAUUUAAGAGGAGGAAGGCGAGGUCGAAUUGGGGGGUGAGGUUUGCUCGUACACCUAGGAAGCGAGUAAACCCUACUUAAUUUGCAAAGAUAUCGUUCGCUUAAAGGGGGUGUUUGGUAGGCAUGUGCUAAAUUUUAGCACCUGUCACAUCGGAUGUUUGGACACUAAUUAGAAGUAUUAAACAUAGCCUAAUUACAAAACUAAUUGCACAACCCCUAGGCUAAAUCGCGAGACGAAUCUAUUAAGCCUAAUUAGUCCAUGAUUGACAAUGUGGUGCUACAGUAACCAUUCGCUAAUGAUGGAUUAAUUAGGCUUAAUAGAUUCGUCUCGCGAUUUAGCCUAGGGGUUGUGCAAUUAGUUUUAUAAUUAGGCUAUGUUUAAUACUUCUAAUUAGUGUCCAAACAUCCGAUGUGACAGGUGCUAAAAUUUAGCACCUGCUAUCCAAACACCCCCUAAGAGGUUUUAGUAUUUGGUUUAAUACGCUCUUAUUAUUCUUUUAUAAGAGAAAUUUUAUUAAUCUUAGACAGUUACAUCAAGAUAUCAAGAUGAUACUAAUGCACAAGGAUCAUUCCAGACCUCUGAAUAGUUAGGAUGCAUACAACCUAAAAAAAUAAACGAAAAAGAAAAAAGACAUGACAUCUUAUACCAUGUUGCAACAAGUUACAACCUACAGCUUGAUUUUCAGUUCCACGCACCAUCAUUGGAGCAUCUGGACCACGAGAAGGACUGUCUAAAAGCAACACCUCCAAAAAGGAAAUGACAUGUGUACCAUCGUUGCUAUAGUCCAAUCAUUCAAGAUCAGACCAUCAGUUUUCACCUUAAAGAGUAAUUUCUCGAACUCUAAAUAAUGCGUUCAACAAGGCCAUUGCCUGGGAGAUUCUUAGGUGCUACCUUUCUUUUCUUUCCGAGCCAAUACUAAUAUACUACCAUAUCACACAGUCUUGCCCAACUUGAUCCCACGAGCUUUCGUAGUCCCACGAUAAUCUUAUCAUGCGCAAACCAAACCAAGGAAAGCAAUGCCACCAGUAGAAGCCAAGGUGAUCUGACUCCUGUCUACGGAACUGUACACCUCUUAUUACUUGACUCAAAAUUUGAGUCUUGAGAAAUUUGACACCAACAUGUAAAGUCUUUUGUGCCACGUGUUUCUUCUCAUUUUCCUCCGUUUUCUUUCCUUUUUCUUUUCUAGCUCACGUACACGUACAAAUUUACCCCCUCGUUUCUGUUCUUCCUCUUCCUACCCGUCAGCUCCAGGAGACCAGGACGGCGGCUCGCCAGCAGUGUGGGUAACGGGCUGCGUCGAGGCACCUGUUCCAGUGUUCCCCUAGCUCGUCUUCCUCCCACGCGCCACGUAGUACUGGCUCCGCCAUGUGCUGCUCUGCCUCGGCUGCCCGGAACGCGCAACAUUGAGGCGAAAACAAGGGGGCCAAUCACAACGGCACGAGCGGACAUGCGGGCUGCGGCGACGCAGCUGUGCGAUGCAGGAGCGAGCCACAUGCGAGGCAAGCAAAGCGAUGGUGUGUGGACCUCCUGAUUUCUCAUGAAAAAUUGAUACCAGAGACGUGAAAUUAGAUGGACUAGUCGUUAACCCGUGCAUUCGCACGGGCUAGAAAAUGUAUCCAUGUUUUUAUCUAUAUUAUUACUAUUGUUUACUAAAAUAGGAUAUUACUUAAACUCAACCUACCACAUAUUUGCAAACAAACAUACCCCUUUGCAGGUUAUAUAUAUUUCACACAUUUUAGUUCUCCAUUCGAAUUUAUUUAUGAACAGUUUACACAUCUAUGCUUAUGUGAUUGGCCGUGUAGUUUAUUCUUUUUUUAUUUGUUGUACUUAUACAUAGUAGCAGUGAAGCUCAUUGAUGUGUUGUUCUAUUAGGACGGUCUCGAUGGAGUUUCACAAAGAGUUUUAUGGGCAUUAAAUUUUAUGUCACAUCAGCAAUUUUGCUGACUUGGCAACAUCAUUUAUGAGGAGAGUUUCAUCAGAUGUGAGAGGAGUUUCAUCCUCAUAACACUCCGCUGGCACAUUUACCUAGUUCUCAGUCUUGGUAAUUGUACAAUGAAACUGUGCACUGAGACUGGCCUUAUCCAUGCACGCAUACCAACUAAUGGACUUGCCUUUUGCUUCAUAAAUGGAGUUUAAAUUCUUUAUCCAUACCUUUUAUUAGCUUAUUAUCAAAUAUAAAUUGGUAUUGAAUUAGAGUUCUUUUUUCUUUACAGACAAAUUAUUUAGGAAUGCUCACAUAUUUUUCUUUAUCGUCCUGCUUUUCUUCCAAUCUCCAAAACAAUAUAAUUUUUCUAUGAAUGACGUAGUAAUUUGAACUGGCUUCUUCCAAUCUCCAAAACAAUAUAAUUUUUCUAUGAAUGACGUAGUAAUUUGUAGCCAGUUCAGUAGUUUGGCUAAUGAUGUAAUUUCCAGCUUUUUAGCUCCAAGGACUGCUUAGUGUUAGAAGGCCCUUUAGAGGAACCUCAUAUAUACAUGUAUAAUAUAAGUAUCUUCUUUUGGUUGCAUCAGCCAAAACUCUUCAUGAGAGGAACCAUCACACAUUGGGAGGAAAUGAUAUCUUGGUUCCAUGUCAAAUCCUAGUCCCUAAAGUCUUGUUGCAUUUUUUAUAAAUAAAUAGGCAAGGAAACAAUAAAAAAUUAAAUGCGGACCAAUCAUCGAUAUGCAGCAUUAUGGAUCUAACAGACUGAGUGAUUGAUGUUGAGAGAGAAGGAUUAAUACGAAGCUAAUUUUGGCUACCUGAUUCAUCACACCUAUCCUAGAUGAUAUGAGGCUUAGUUACCGCAACAUGGAUGAAGUUGGCAAUGCAGGCUUGACAGAACUGAGACAGAUGGACUUGUGACUGAGGUCUUCACAGAGAUAACUUAUUUCUCACAUUUUUCCUUAAAGAGAUUUUUUUCCAGCGGCUGUGGUAAAACUCUUCACCAGGCCGGCCGUGGCAACAUUGGUGACCAGUUCUGUAACUCUUGGCACACAGCUAAUGCAGAAGAGGAUUGACAGGUGGAAAAAACGGCAUUACUCCCGGUUGGUAGGUCUCAAAGAUAUCGAAAAUACAUUCAGAAUUAAAUUUUCGAAAUGAAUGGAGGUUCUUUAGUCCUGGAUCAUUCAACCGGGACUAAAGACCCCCUUUAGUCCUGGUUGGUAAAACCAACCGGGACUAAAGGAGCGGCCACGCCAGGCGCCAACACGGGCCCCUUUAGUUCUGGUUGGUUUUACCAACUAGGAUCGGGACUAAAGGGGGUACGUGGAUGCGCCAGCAUGCGCGCCUGCAUGGUGCAUGCACGUACCCCUUUUGUACUUAAAGACUUUUUUAAAAUUCUUUUCCAUAUUAAUAUUGUAUGCAGGAAUAUACACACACACACACAAUUCUUAGUAUAUUAUACAAAUCAAACUAUUAUUUAUACAAUUACUAUAUAUACAAUAAUUUGUCCACUUCAUUCCUAGGAUCGUCCCAUCGUGGUGUUGCUCGGUGCGGCUAUUGAAUGUCCGUCGUAAGAAAAUUCUCCUGCUGGAUGUAUCACCUCGUCCACUAGCAAUCGCACGAGACCUUCACAUAUUGCCAAAAUCCCCUCCUUCUCCAAGAGUCUUUCUUGAAUAUUCCAAAUCUGUAAUUUGGAAAUAUGUGAAUGUUACACGAACAAUUAAAUAUAAGGAGGUAGAAAACAAUUAAUUAUUAAUAGAACAUACGACGACGGCCCGUUGCCAUGCACAAAACUGUGCAUGUGCUCACAGACAUAGUAUCCACAUAGAUUAUUGCCUUGUUCAUGUCUCAAGCAAUUUAGUGGAAAAAACAAGUUAUGAAAUAUUUGUGUUUUAGAAUAUAGAAAAUGUGCAAACUUCAUACGUACCGGGAAGUAUAUUCUGGAUGUAAGUUUUUCUUUGAAGUUACCACUGUGAUGCUUAAGGAAUCGUUUCCAUACGUUGCGGAUUAAAAUAAUGAAUGAUACAGUGUUAGGUGAUAAUUUAGGAAACCAACUUUUGUAUAGAGAUAAAGGUCCAGAAUUGUUACGAGUUUAGCAUGUCUUGAAUGUCUUGAUACUCCUUCGGUGGUUUCCUCAACAAAUCGAACACAACGACGUGGCUUCUAUCAAUCAUAAUUAUUAGGAGGAUCCAGUGGAAACUGCAUACAUAAAUAUUCAUAUUAGAGCUAACUAAACAAAAAUAGACGGUAACCACACUUACUUACUUGUGCUUGUAUGGUAGUAGUAUAUAUUCCUUGUAAUUUUGUUUGUCCAAGAAAUUGUAUACCACCUCCAAUAUUUUCUUUGGCUGAUCCCGUAUCUACUUUUGGUUAACGAGCAUUGGAUCCAUGAAACCAACAAUGAAGUACGAUUCUAUGUGGCACCUCUGAAUUAGCAUCCUACAAAAAAUGGAAGACGAAGUUAGUAGGACGACGCACACACAAUAGGGCCAUCUUCUGCAAACUCAUCUUCAUCACCCUCGCCCAUUGUAGUAUCUGCAAAAACUUGGCCUGCAGCCCAGUCCGGAAUGUUAUUAUCAUCCUCCUUUUCUUCAUCGUCUUCCAUUACAACCCUUCUUUCGCCGUGCUUGGUCCAAACCAAAUAGUUAGGCAUGAAAUCAUAUCUAAACAGGAAGAGUAGUGCUUCUUCUUACUGCAUUUGAAGCAUGGACAACAUAUGAACCCGUUCUCUGGUUUGUUGGCAUUGGCCACUUCGAGAAAAUAAUGCAAGCCAUCAACAAACUCCUUGUUCUGUUUGUCCACGUUACACAUCCAUUGCCGGUCCAUCUACAUCAUAUUACAUGAGAAAUGGACAUAGAUCUUCGCAUUAGAUAAUAAACUUGAUCAAUAUUGGGUGGGGGAAAAAAUAGAGUUAAUGUAAUUAUAAUAUUUAGGUCUUACAAAAAAUAUUAGAUAAAUAAAUUUAUUACGUGAGAAAUGGACAUAGAUCUUCGUAUUAGGUAAGAUCAAUAUUCAUAACCCCACCAACCCCCCAACUCCCCCUGCUCCACACGUCCGGCGCGGGUGGGCUAGGGUAUCGUCGUUAGACCAGUACGACAAUUUAUUUCUCUUAAUUUUAUUGCAAUGACUAAAUAUUAAAAACACAUUUACUCUUUUUUUUCUCAUAUCUAAUAUUGAUAAAGUUCUUUUAACUAAUACGAAUCAUAUAUAACAAGCAAGCUAUCCAUCAAAUUCUAGCUUAAUAAAGAUACAUAUAAAGAUUACACUCAUAACAAGACAAUAAAGAGACAAUAAAGAUACAUAUACACUAAAGAUUACAGACGCUCCAUAGUGGACUUCACGUAGUCAAUUAUCCUAAAAUAAUGGUACAACAUAGCAGAAUGUUCGCCCUCCAAGCCAUCUCUGCACUUAACUCAAUUUUCUCCGAAGUCUAUCGAGAGUCACCUCCACAUAUCCAGUACCAUAAAAUAAUGGCACAACAGAAGAUCUUCGAGUCCACAUACUCAGGCUGAAUAUCAUAAAGGAAUCUUGAAAUGAUUGUCCAAACGACUUUUGGAGCAAGUGCCACAUUCUCAUAAUAGAAGUGUGAUGGCACACACACAAUAGCCCGUCCAGGCAAAAGAUCUGUUCCCUGAGCAUGGCCCUGGUGGCAAGCCAAAACCAACCAAAAUCGCUAGGCCAAGGUUAGUGAACAGAUCUUUGCUUGAAGAGGAUAUUGGGCCAGCAUACUUCUAUUACGAGAAUUAGGCUCUAAAAGGUGUUUGGAAUACUUUUUCAACAUUCUUAUAUGAUAUUCAGCCCGAGUUUGUGGACUCGAAGCUCUUCUAUUCUACCAUUAUUUUCUAGUACUGGAGGAGCGGAGGUGACUCUCCAUAAACUUUGGAGAAGAUUGAGUUAUGUGUAGAGAAUAGCGUAACCACAUUUAUGCCAUGUGCAGACACUGUUAACUGGGAUUGGAGGAACGGAGGUGGUACAUCCAUUGCCUGUCCAUCUACAUCGUAUUACGUGGAAAAUGAACAUAGGGCUUUGUAUAGGAUUAUUGUUUAUAAUAUUUAGUUCUUGCAUUAAAUAUGAGAUGAAUAAAUUGUUGGGCAAAGAAAUACAAUUAUUGUUAAAUUACAGUGACAUGAAAAAUUGAUGACCAAAUUCUAUUUUCUUGCACCUACAAUUUAUUUACAUUAAUUUUAUUGCAAUGAAUAAAUAUUAAAAAUACAUUUACUCUAUUUAUUCUCAUACCUAAUAUCGAUCAAGUUCUUUUAACUAAUACGAAUCAUAUAUAACAAGCAAGUUAUCCAUCAAAUUCUAGCUCAAAAACAUGUAUAAAUAAAAAUCCUCUCUAUUCUCCCUCAUUCUUAAAAACUUAUUUUUCUCCCUCUCUAAAGCAUAAAACAAAGCAUAAUAGGAGGAUGAAAUAGCUAACCUUCACAACACUUUGAAUGUGUGAAAUCCCCAUGGAAAUGAGGAAAAAAAUUUGGGCAUCAUCUCCCCUAAGGUUGCUUGCUCGCCAUGGAGAGGAGGCCAAGUGUCUCUGGUGGAGUGGAGUGGCUCGAGCCGGGGCAGGAAGAAGAGCUCUCGGUCUGGUAAUUUUACAGGGGAGGAGAUUUUAUCCCGGUUGGAAAUUCCAACCGGGAUAAAAUACCAUCCCUUUUGUCCUGGUUGGUGGUUUUGUCCUAGUUGGAAAUUCCAAUGGGGGAUAAAAGACCCCCCUUUUCUCCCUGUUGGAAUUGUCAAUCGGGACUAAUCCUUUUGUUCCGGUUAGAAUUACCAACUGGGACAAGGGGGGCCUUUUGUCUCUGUUGGACUGUCCAACCGGGACAAAAAGGUGCGGCCGUCGGUGCGAUAGUUCUAGCCGUUACAACCGGGGACUAAAGGGGGGCGUUAGUCCCGGUUGGUAUUUACAACCGGGACUAAAGCUCCCCCCGGUGGCCUUCGGUGGCACUUUUUUGACCCGGACUAAAGCCACUUUAGUCAUGGGUCCAAUGUUAACCGGGACUAAAGGGGUUGGAUGGAAGGUUAGUUCUCUACCAGUGAGGGACGUUUUCAUCUAGCUUUUCCCACCAUGUGCUAAUCGCCAUGUCCUUAAUGCAUGAGAGGCCAUUGUCAUGAGUUACACAAAAUCCAUAGCCUCUGUUGCCUUUGAGAAACAGCUGACAAAGUCAUGCAAAUGACAAUUACCUUGACAAAGCUAGAUUUUGCUGCUCGUUGCCAAAUUCAUCAUGCCCCUAGCCUGAUCUACCUCUCUCGGGGUCAGAUCCAGUGCCUAGUGGCUGGGAGGCGGUGCUAGGGCGAUUCAGCGGCCAUGCCGCUAGUUCCCACCCCCAUCCUCUCCUAUCCGGGUUGCGGCAUCUCGUGGCGGCAGCCUUCACCCCCGGGUUGGUACCGUCUAGAUCCAUCUUACCUGGAUCUAGCGCCCUCCGGCUUUGGGGACCAGUCCGACGAACCUGUUCCCGGAGAUGAUGGUCGGUGACUAUCGUCACAAAUGUUGUGCUUGCAACGGAGGUGCUCAGGAACUCAUCAUGCGGUGAGUGUGGUAUAGGACGCAAUUCAUUGACGUUGGGUCUCAGGUGCUUCAACCUCGUGUGGUUGGUGAUGGUGCGGUAUGGGAUGUGUCUCUUCGACCCCUGCAGCUGUGUUGUGGUGGGCUAGGGUGCACUGGCGAAAGCCACGACGAUGAUGCCUAUAGGUGUCAUUUCCUUCUUGGAGGCACCACCUAUGUGUCCCAAAUCCACCCUAUCACUAAGUCUCGAGGUGAAAACUUUGUCCCGGUGGGCAGCAGUGGUGGCGACUAUCGUCAUUUCCUCGGUGGAGGCAUCGUUUUGUAGGCUUUUUGAGUGGUAUUGCACUUCAUGUCAGUACUGUGGUUACCCAACUCGGAUUCUUCAAUAGCUAUUGGUAUCUUACUUAUCCCCACUCUGGAAGUGUGGAUGGUUUUGCUGCGGUCUUGGUUUGGUGGUCAGAGCGUCAAUCAGCACAUGGAGUUGUUUCUCUUCCCCGUUGUUGGAUUUGGCUCAUACUUUGGUUUUGCUUUCACCUAAUGUGGAGAAGUUACAAAACAUGCCGCUAAGGAAGAUUUUUACUGGUGUAACCUGUUGAAGAUUUUGAGUUUCACCCUUUUCUUUAUUUUUUGUUACGUUUCUUUGCUAGAUCAGAUUUUAUGAUAUCUUGGCUACAUGUUUAGUUGGAAACAUAUGCCUCUCGGUAUUGUUUGUGGUCUGAUGCAUUCUCGAAAGAGGAUGCCUGAAGCUGGAAUUUUAUCUUUCAAAAAAAGUUUUCUACCUGGGAUAGCGUCUCUGCCUCCACCAUGAAGCUACAUGUGUUGAUGCCUCAACUAGAUCGAAGCCUGUCCAUUGGCGAGUUUGAACCUCGGUAUGGACGGAUUUACUUUGCGAUAGCACUGAACAGCCAACUGCAAUCUUUCCUAAUCCUUCCUUGAUGUUCAUGCUAGACAUGACGUUAUUUGGGGCUCCUCGUUCACACAAUACAAGUCGCAAAACGGAUGGAGAUGGAGUGGUGAUAGAACAGCACCUAGCUGUUUCAGGUACGACGGGCACGACAGUGGCUUUGCAGCGGUGGCGACUUUAGUUAUUUCAUCGGGAUCAAAAGAACCAUCUAAGAGAUCUUUCUUUUGUUAGGUAAGAAUAUCUACUUUAGAUUAUUACCUUACAUACAUGGAGAUAUGGAGUCCUAAUACUGCUUGAUAUGUAGUCUCUCCGUCUUGAAAUACAAGGCAUCUGAGGGUUCAAAAUUUGUUUCUAAAUACAAGGUGUCCUAGGAGUUGUUGGCAAGUACUCAAUCAACUUAAUUAAAAAUUUAUCACAUAUUUCCCUUAUUAACUGGAAAACUUGCCUUGUAUUACCAUUAUCUAAGGGUACACGAGACAUUUGCUCACCUCCUUAAUCAGUCUAAAAAAUCUUAGGAUGCCUUGUAUUUUAGGAUGGAGGGACUACUACAUGAUCUGGUGUACGAUUCACAAGCAUGCAAGCGUGUGUUGAUUGCCUUUUUUUUUUAUUUAGUUGCCCACGAUGGAUUACUCAAGAGGGGCUCUUGCCGUAUAUGGACAUAUUGGCAGUAUAUAUUUUUCUUUUUCACCGAUUAACGUAGGAUUUUCCAAAGAGUCUAUAGAUAGAUGAGCUUGCAUAUUUCUGGUGCCAAACGAAUGGGGUCGCUAAUCAUACUCGGACCUUCAAAUUUCAUUCGAAGGAAGGCUCCGCCCCUGCCGCACCGCGCGCCGAGCUAGAUCUUCGCCUCGCCCACGGUGACAGGCCACGGCACGGGCCACGCGUCCUUUUUCAGUGCUUGUGCGUCUGCGCCGUGUGAGCGCGCAUCGGUCAGGUACCGUCGCAAGGCCGGGAGCCGCUCCGUCGUCUUGCUCCUCACCGCCCGGCAAGCCGCUGGCAAGCUCCGUUCAUGAGAGCUGCAAAAGAAUAAACAAUCAAAAGAGGAAAAAAGCGAAGAAACAUUUAAAAUAAAGCAUUCGCAUAUGUUGCUGUCAAAAUUUGAAAGAUUAACGAAUUGGAUGCCAAACAGCAAAAGGCGUGAGAAAGGCGAGGGAUGUCUCCGUCCGCUCAGCCUCACCGAAUCGCUUAUCCUCGCUCCGAGUAUAGAUGUCUAUGCAACUUGCGACCCGCCUAGCUGGCACGAAAACUUUUUUAGCCCGGCACGAAGAGCUCAGUGCCCGUGCUGGCCCGGACCGGUACUGCGUGCCGGGCGUGGGCCACUACUCGGCACGAGCCCAACCCGAUUUGAAGAGCUGGCCUGUUAAGAGCCCGUUAUCCUCCGCCCCCUAAUAAAACUAAGAGGGUGUUUGGAUAUCCCUACUAAACUUUAGCACCCAUCACAUUAGAUGUUUGAUACUAAUUAGGAGUAUUAAACAUAGCCUAAAUACAAAACUAAUUGCACAGAUGGAGUCUAAUCGCGAGACGAAUCUAUUAAGCCUAAUCUUUACCUAUUAUUAAAGCAAGUAACGCCUCUGCCCGGAUUUUCGUACGUCGUGGUCAUUUUGCAAAAUAAACCCUGAUGUUUUGUGUAAUCAACCCGCAGUCCAUUAUUAUGAAUAGUCUGGGUGUCGGAUUGAAAAAGGAGGAAAGAGAGGGGGUUUAAAGGGAAAGUUCUUCUCUAAAUUACGCCGCCCAACGGCACGCACGCUCCCUCAAGUCUCUCCGCCCGUCGCCUCCGUCCACGCGCGAGCCGCUUCCUCCACCGCCCCUCCUCUCGCUAGACACCGAAUCGGAGCUUCGGAUCCGUCGAUUUGAAGCGGCAGUACUCGUGCGGAGGAGCAUCGACGGUUGAGCUGGAUCUGUACAUGGGAGUCCCGCAGGGGCCAGUGGCCUCUCCCGUGACGAUUCGACCGGCGGAGGUCGAAAUCGAGCCGGUGGCCGGUGUGCUGGACCGCAGCGAGGCUCUCGAGCCGCCGAUUUGGGGGUGGCGUAGCUCAUCUUGGCUGGAUUCGGCCGGGCAUGGGGGCUGCGCAAGAUCCGGCGAGGAAGGUCCGAGCGUGGGGCGACAGGGCUUGAGCGGCGGCAUGGCGCAGGGAGUGCAGGGGCGCAGCUCCCCCAGCUCGCAGCGGCGGCGUGGAUCUGCCGGUGCUGGAGUUCUAGGCGGCCGCAGCACCGGCGAGGGACCCGACGGGCGGUGGCGGCAGAGCUCUGGGCGGCCGCGGCACCGGCGGGGGAGCACGACAGGCUGUGGUGGCAGAUCUCCAGGUGGAGCUCGAGGGCGGUGGAGUUUCGGGGGGGAGCUCGAGGGCCGGCGAAUCGAGGUCCGGGCGGAGCUAGAGGGGUGGCGGCGGAGCUCGGGGAGCGGGGGCAAGCGAGCUUGAGCGGCUGCUGUAAUCACAGAUGGAUUUGAUGCUUGGAUUGUCCUGCAGCGGAUUGAAGAGAAAGAAGAAAUUGGAGAGAUGGGCUGAGAGAUGAGUAGGUAGGUGCUCGACUGCUCGUGCUUGCUGAUUAGAAAAGAUAGGAGCUGCUACUGGCUUGCUCUCACCAAGAUUCAAUCAAGAAUAACUGCAGCUGCUGUUCUUGGAUCGAAUUUGAUAGUACAUUUUAUCUAAAAGACUGAAACGCAGACAGCAGCGAGCUGAGAAGAGAGAGAUGCGAAUUGAAUUAGUGGUGCACGAGAGAAUUGACUAAUUGACUAUCACAGAGAAACUCCAAUUAGACUUGACCUCUCUAGAAUUAUAACUAAUGACUUAUUGGGUUUUGCCGAGUUGGUAUCUAAGUUCAUCCAACUCUCUGAUGUGUUUUAGACUAUCUGCUUGCGAGACAAUGAAAUCUACAAUUGAGGAAUCAAGCUUACAGAAUUGAGCAAGAGCUGUUAGGUUUACGUCGGACAUGACUGCUCUAUCUUAUUGUUGAGUUAGAGGGCUUUCUUAGCUGAGAUCAGCUCCUGUACGUAAGUCUGUUAUUUUGGAGCGUAACAUAUAUUGCAUUUUAACUUAGAACUUCUCUGAAAAUACGAAGAGUGGGUUAACUCUUAGUUUAGUUUAUCAUUGUCACUUUUUAUGGAUUUGAUUACUAUUUUGUUUCUUCCAUUGCAUUUUCAGGUGAAUUUUCAUUGCUAUUAAUGAAGAAGGAACAUUAUGCAUUUGAUUACAUAUAUUUUGCAAGGAUGAGAUCCAUUGCAGUGCAUGGGAAGGAUCAGAACAUAUAUAUGGUGAUUGCAAUGCCAUAUUGCGAAGUUGGCUUCAUUGCAUAUGGGUUAAAGGAUUUUUUUUUCCGUUGCAACGCACGGGCAUAUUGCUAGUUAAUCUAUAAUUUGACAAUAUGGUACUACCGUAACUAUUUGCUAAUAAUGGAUUAAUUAAUUUUAAUAAAUUCAUCUCGUGAAUUAGACUUCAACUCUGCAAUAGUUUUAUAAUUAAUUUAUAUUUAAUCUUUCUGAUCAGAGUGCCCGUUCGUAUCCAAACACCCAGCCGUUUCUUCCCUCCCCGCCGCCGCCUGCCUCUCCGCUGCCUGCCUCUCUCUCGGCUCGGAGCAGAGCUCCUCCCCUCCGCCGCCGCCACCGCUCCACCUCUCCUCCCCUCCGCCGCCGGCGCCGCUACCCCCUCCUCUCCUCCACCGCCGGCUCCGCUCCGCUCCCCUCCCACUCCCACCCCACCGAUCCGCCGCCUCCCUCUACCGCCGGCGCCGCUACCCCCUCCUCUCCUCCACCGCCGGCUACGCUCCCCUCCCACUCCCACCCAACCGAGCCGCCGCCUCCCUCCCUCGCGGAGGCGAGCUGCCGAGCCGAGCAAAAACGCGUUAACACUGAUCUGAGGCCCUCCACCCACGGACCAUUUCUGGCCGCGCGAUCCGUGGCGGUGAUGGGGCGACGGCCGCGGCGAAGAGAGCCGCCGGCGAGCAACCACACGCACGGACCAACUGAGGCUGUACGUGAAGAAAGGGUGACCGAGGGGGUGAGACCCGCCGGAAAGAAACUUCGCUGCGAGCGUAGUAAGUACCAUGCAUCUGGCCCAGGAUAAUUUACGGUUUCGGGGAUCUAGAUAAAAAAGAAACAAAAAUGAGUUUCGGAUUUUGGGCAAAUUUAUGUUUUGUUAAAGUUAUUUGUCUGAUGAGAGACUACUUUGUGAAGGUGGUUUUGGUAAGGCAUUUAAGCUAGAAGUUUUGAGAGAGUCCACAGACGGUUUCUCUGACGAGAGACUACUUGGUGAAGGUGGUUUUGGGAGGGUCUAUAAGGUAAGAUUAAAUCAUAUAUUUUUCAUCCACUCAAAUAUAUGUAAUCAAAUGUUAUCCAGAAACUUAUAUUCGUAUCAACCUGAGAGUUUAAAUACUUAAACAGGCACGGCUACAGAAUGGGGAUAUGAUUGCUGUGAAGAAGUUUACAUCGACAAUUCUAGGAAUUAACGAUACACAAUUUGAGAAUGAAGCCAGUCAUCUUAUGAGGCUUAAACACCCAAAUAUAGUGCAACUUGUAGGCUAUUGUUCUCACACAGAGAUGGUACCGGUAGUGCACGAGGGGUCAUACGUUUUAGCUGAGAAGCGAGAACGGUUGAUUUGCUUGGAGUACCUGCCUCAUGGAAGCCUUCAUGGGCAUCUUUCAGGUAUGACAAUCCAAUAUGAGUGUAUCUGUUCAUUUUUCUUUCUUUGAAGUUUGAACCUUGAAUUAUGUUUGUGUGGUUAGAGUGUAUUUACUAUUCAUGUUAAUAUUGUCUAGAGAACUACUAUAUUUUAUUUAUAUAGUAUCAUUUGUCGGAUAUCUUAUUACAAAUGCAGAUGAAUCUUCUGGGCUUGAUUGGGACACACGCUACAAAAUUAUUGAGGGUAUUUGCUAUGGUUUGCAUUAUCUUCAUGAGAAGUGGCAAGCUGGGACCCCUAUUAUUCACAUGGAUCUUAAACCGAAGAACAUAUUGCUCGAUGACAAUAUGGUGCCAAAAAUUGCAGACUUUGGUUUGUCGAGGCUCUUUGGUGUCGAGCAAACUCAAGCUUGCACUACAAGUCAGUUUGGAACAAUGUAAGUUAAAUGCCUCUCAGAUUCUUUCAUUUGUCUUCACCAGAAUACCUUUUUUCUUGAAUGUCCUCUCAUUGCUUCAAAGUUCACACACUAAUGGAAUCAUGUUUGUGAUACAGCGGUUACAUGGCGCCAGAAUACCGUGACAAAGGUUUAAUCACAAAAAAGUUAGACAUAUUCAGUUUGGGUGUGAUAAUCAUAGAGAUAAUGACAGGGCGAAGGGACUACCCAGAUGAGAUUGAAACAUCAUCCCAGGAAUUUAUUGAGCUCGUAAGAAAAUUAUGUUUGUACUUUCAAGGCGGAGCCAUUUUUUAAAGAGAUGCUGUUACAUUUUUCAGUUGCAUGGUUGUACUAAUAUUCUAGAUUUGUGCCU